rnacentral:lncRNA from 1 species
CAUCCCAAUCUCUUCAUGGUAUUCUAUCUUAUCAGGUUUUCUCUUCUUCUAGGGAUUUUUAGAGAAUAUUUUCCAUCUUCAUUUGUUGAUGUUUGGCAGAUAAAGAGAAAGGAUCAAAAUGGUCAAGAUGGUUUCUUUUCCUUCCUGGAGCUAUCACUUUCGGCCUUGGAACUUGGCAGAUUUUCAGAAGGCAAGACAAGGUCAACUAUUUAUUUUCCUUUCCUCCUCUUGCCUUUUCUGUUACUCUCUAAAAACUAUGCAUUAGUGUUUUCUUAUUCGAUCUUUAUCAUUGUUCAUUGCCCUUUUCUUCAAGUAUUACGCUUGAGUUUUCCCCAAUCAUUCUUGGGUUUUUUUUCUUCUUCCAAGUCAAAGUAAAUUUAACAUUUACUGUUUUUCCAGUGAAUUUGAAUUGUUGUAGAAGUAGAUCAAAUAUAAUACUCUUGUUGUUAGUAAUUUUCGUUUAUCAAUUUGAAAUUGCUUCUUUGAAGAAACAGGGUUCAAACCAAUGAAAAUGGUUCUGAUUUCUAGUGAGAAAAAGGGAUUUUCAAGCUGGUUCUAAAUUAGAAAAGAUUGAUUAUCAUUUCACUAUUUAAUUGAAUAAGUUGGCCGAAUAGAAUUAAAUUUAGAGGUGUGUUCUAAUAGGAUAUGUCUUGGUGUUGGCCUAUGGUAUGAUUUUAGGUUUUAUGCAAAUCAGGUACCAACAUUACCUAGACUUUUUCAAGUUCCUAUGUCCAACUUCUUGUUUGACACAUAUUUGGACAUGGGUAUGGUCGUAUAGGGUUUCAUUCUAUAAAUAUAUGGAAAAACUUCUAUUUGUUUCAGAUACAUUUUUGCAUCUGACUCACCUCAAGUCCAGCUAUCAUAGUCAAGCAUGAGGCAAUAGUGCUCCAUAGUGGUGUUUUCUUUUUCUUUUUUUUAAUAGAAAUAUGCUGCUAGAGAUGCUCUAAAUUACAUUUAUACUUGAAAUUUGGUAGAUUAAGACUUGUAUCUUUUUCUUAUGGUGUACAGAUGCAGUUAAAUAAUUAGGGCUGUAAAUCAAGUUAGAAAGAAGAUGGAACUCUAGAAAAUAUAGAUUUAAAAAGAAACCUCUAGUUUCUUUAUUUUAAUUCAAGGAAAAUAAUAAGGAUUAUUAUUUGGUGCACUGCCAGUGGAAAAAAAAAAGUCCAUAAGCACGGUUUGAUGAAAUCUAAAAAAAUGGACAUAUGUAAUCAUCUUAACCCUGCUUGUGGAAUUUUUUAUUUCCAUUGGCGGUGUACCUAAUAAUAACCCUAAUAAUAAUGGCUAUAAAGCCUACAACUUAUUUAUAUAGGCUUUCUUUCUUGCAAGUAAAGUUACCAGGCUUUCUUGCAAAAAAAGUUUUAUUCUAGCCCUAUAUUUAAACCCUAAAGAUACUUGAUAAUCCUAGCCAUCCAUAAAAUAUCUAAUACGCAAUAAAUAAAACUGAAAUAAUAAAAUAUUAUAAAAUUAAUAACAUAAAAAGCUCCUGCAUCAAAAGUUCAAACUAUAGAUAAACCAUUUGAAUGAAUAAAAUAGUCUGAGAAAACUAAUGCACAAAUAAAUGAUAUAUAAUUUGGCAUACAUAUAUUAUUUCACUAAUCUUCUUUAUCAUAAACCAUAUACUUUGUAAGCAUAGUCACCUGUCAUUUUCAAUGGACCAUGGCACUUAAGCCCUGUGCUUUCAGGUUUAUGCAUCGCUGCAAGAGUUAAUAGAAAGCCUUUUCCUUAACUUGUGCCUAACUAUACCAAUGUGUCUGCUUUUUAGAAACAUGCGCAUUCAACUUGCUGCACGUGUUGUUCCCAUCUAUUCUCUUGCUUGUAUCCUUCAGGAAUUUAUUUUUCCAUUUUUUAAUUUUGUUUUCAGAAGUGCAUUCUUACAUUUUGUUCAUUUUGCUUAAUACAGAUAGAGAUGCUGGAUUACAGACAGAAGAGGUUGCAAAUGGAACCUUUGAAACUAAAUGACAUGCCUCCUUCAAGUGAAAUAUUGGACACUUUAGAGUUUAGGCGAGUCGUGUGCAAAGGAGUUUUUGAUUAUGAAAGAUCAAUCUACAUUGGGCCUCGCUCUAGAAGCAUUUCUGGAGUGACUGAAAAUGGCUACUAUGUCAUUACACCCCUAAUGCCCAUCCCUGACAAUGCUGAUAGGUUAUUGAAAUUACUUUUUUGUUCUAUAUCAAAUGUCAAAUUUCUCUUCAUUUUUUUAUUUUUCCAGUUAUAUCCUAUUUCCUAUACAUCUUAGUAUUAGUUUCCUCUACCUCUUCAUCCCAUCUCAUCUUUAAGCAUAGUUAUGGGAGUUAGGACUUUGGAGGGAGUAGGGCAUGCAUAGGAAUGGAGAUGGUAUGGUAGCAAGGACUUUCUUUGGCCAACCUAUUACUACCAUUUGCUAAUUUUGGUAGUGGUCUUUAGCCCCAAAGUUCUUCCCCUCCCUCUUGUUUCCAAAGAAUAUGUGUUUCCAAACAUUUGACUCUAGGUAAAACAUGUAAUCUGAACUUUUGAAGCUUCCAAAUUUUUGUGUGGUAAGUAUGUCCUGAAGAAUCACAUAAUGGUACUUCUGAUGUUGCUUUAUUCAUUAGGAUUAUUUCAAGUAUUUAUGGCUGAACCUCUCAACUAAAGCUAUUGCCUCUGGUCAAGCUUUUCAGUUUCACUAGUGGGUUUUAAGGGAUUUAGGUUCUUCUAUUUUUUGUCAUUUUACUCACCACACUCUCAACCCCCCCCCCCCCCCCCCCCGGCCGGGGAAAAAAGUGAAGUCUAUGAAGUGUUGGUUUGACUGCUUUGCUCUAGGCUUUUGUCACAAAAUAGUGAGCUAAGCUGCAAGAUUCUAGCCUACCUUUAUGAUAUGUGGUAAUUUCCCUUUGCAGUCACCUUUGAAGGUUAAUUGUUAUUUGUUGCAGGACUUAAUGUUCCUUUUUGGUGCAUGGGGUUGCUUGCUAUGUUUCCAUUCAACUAAUUUGAAUGUACUUUUCAGUGUGCAGUCUCCAGUUCUUGUAAAUAGAGGAUGGGUCCCACGCAGCUGGAGAGACAAAUCUUUUGAAGUUUCACAAGACAGAGAGAAAUCUUCAAGUACAGAUGUUGUUCCUGUCCAACAGAAUGAACGAAGCUGGUGGGGAAUGUUUCAAUCUAAGAAGCAAAAAGCUGUUGAGGUUGUCUCUUGUCAUCUCUUGAAUCCUUUGCUGAUGCCAAUGACAUAUAUUUUAGGAGAAAAGGUCUAAAACUUUUUGGAACUUACAGGCUCAAGCCCCUGCUAUUACUUAUGUGGAAGUUAUUGGAGUUGUCCGGGGGAGUGAGAAACCAAGUGUAUUUGUUCCACCAAAUGAUCCAAAUUCGGGACAGUGGUUUUAUGUUGAUGUUCCUGCAAUUGCUGUUGCUUGUGGGCUUCCAAAGGAUACUCUUUUAAUUGAGGACAUCAAUGAAAAUGUUAAUCCAAGCAACCCUUACCCUGUUCCAAAGGAUAUCAAUGCCUUGAUUCGCAGUUCAGUAAUGCCUCAAGAUCAUCUAAAUUAUACAUUGACAUGGUAUGAGUCCUAUUUUGUGAUCCAAAAUAUUUUGUCUGUGCAGAUAUAGUUCAUUUGUUAAAGAUAUUUGAGGAUAUUUUAUAUUAUUUUGCAUGCUCCCCCUCUUCUUCCAGGGUUAUUUUGGGGUUGUUUUGUUAGGGAAGCAUCCUGAGGUGAAAUAAAAGUAUGAAGUUGCUGCAAAUUUGUAAAUUUUAUUCUAUUUGUGAGCACAUAAUUUGAUAACUCUUUACUAUCUUCUAAAAUUCUACAUCUUAGUAUGAUUAUCAUGAUGGUGUAUUUUUAGCUGUUUUGUUGCAUCCAAGUUCUGUCUUGAAUGACUACAAGCUUUUUAUUUUUUAUUUUAUAACACUGUGUCUGGUACCUUUCAGCUGAGCCUGAUGAUAAUAUAGAAAAACAAUCUAGUGCAAAACAAAAUUCUGCAUUUGGAUGGCUAAGUAGUCUUAAAAAAUUCUAUGAAAGAAAAAAAAAUUAUCUGCUUACGGAUUAAUAAUCUUGUUAUCCUCCUUCAGAAAAAUAUCUUGUUAUCUGAGUAGGAUCUGAAUAUCUCAGGGAAGUGUCAGAAUUAUUUUCUUGAAUAACUUGGCAGAUAAAAAUCUUGUAGAAAUAAGCAUAGGUUAGUUGCAUUAGGGUUGAGAAUCAGUGUUAUGCCUCACGGAUUUUCAAAAUUUUUUCCUUCGAAAUUAGAAAAACUUAAUUAAAGCUUAACUGAUUGUAUAUAAUAAAAUCUUUUGUGGUCAAGAUUCUGCAUAGCAGGAAUCUGUAACUUUAGCAAAAAGUAAAGUUCUCUUCAAUAAAAUAUCUUAAGAUGGGACAUAAUGAGUCAUGUAUCUGUAGAGACAUGUUUAGGGAUGCAAGAUGGAUUGUGAUAAGGAAGCAUGCAUGUGUUAAUAUUAAUUAGAUUUCUGUUUGCCUCUGUUGCUACACCUUUUAUUUUGAGAACAUUCUUGCUAUUUCUGGCAUUUUCUGAAUUAGAUCAUGGUGUCACCUCAGCAGGUUGUUAGUGAAAAGACAACAAUACAACAGAUUUAUCUCAACUUCAAAGCUAAUUGUUUUAACUCCUAUCAUAUCUCUUACCUGGUAUCUAUUUCAUUUUUCUGCAGGUACUCUUUGUCCGCUGCUGUUACAUUUAUGGCUUUCAAGAGGCUCAAGCCAAAAAACAGUAGGAGAUAGCAAGCAUUACUCUAAAAGGUAUAAUUUAUUCCUAUGAUUUUUGUUCUGAUGUGCAUUCAAGCAUAUUGAUUGUAACAUAUUCUUAACCCUAAGUACAUAUUGCAAAAAGAAAUUGUUUAUUUGGUGGCACCUAUGUUACCUGGACUCAGGUAUAAGCAUUGGAUAUGAGUACGUGUCCCAAAUGGGUAUGUUCAAUGUUUUCCAAGUUUUUCUUCUGUUUGGAGAGUCCUUGGGAAGUUAUAUCCCCUCGCCCACGUCGCAUACAUUUACUUCAAGCAAAAUGAAAAGUUUAAUGCGUGGCACUGUUUUUAGUCUCUUUGCCCUGAUUUGAUGGUACUAUUUGUUGCUUCAUUUUGGAAUUAUUUGUUGGAUUAUGUUUUCUUCUGGCAGCCUGUUAUUGUUAUGGUAUUAUACUUUCCCUUUGUCAUCCUUUAUCAGUUCAAAAUUUUGAUAUGCAAUAACAUGAAGAACUCAUUGGCCUCAAGUCCUAUUAUUAGAAUGAGAAAAUAUAUUUGCUGGAUUGUACAUUUCUUCAUUGUCGCUCCAUUUGUAGAACCAUGACACAUUUUUUAAAAAUCUUUUUGUGGAUCUUCUUAAUAUUUAGCUCGUUUUGCCACUGCCUUGUGUAUGUUAAUAAUUUUCCAAAAGUGCAAUUUUGGACAGUGAGCCUUCUUAUAUUAUAAUCUCUGUUCAAACACUCAUUAUUCCUUUCUCGAGGAGUCAAUUUUAAAUACUAUGCCAUUAUGCAUGUUCUGAAUUCUCUACUGAUUAGUAAUUAAUAACAUCUGAAGAAAUUCAACUUUAAAAAUAUUGGUGUGCUAAAUUAUAUCUAAACAUAAAAGCACCAAAAGUGCAUGUAAACCUAAUAAUACCAAUAAUCACAUUUUAGUAUACCUACAUUAGACAUUGAAAGUAUAAUAAGCUUUAUUUGCAAUAACGAAAGUAAUCGCAUUGUCAUGUUCAAAUUAGAGAAAAAGAACUAUAAUAUUAUAAGCUUAAGGAAAAUUAGAUUGGCGUUAUGUUUUGCAGGUGAAGAAUGAUAGUAAACCUUGUUCAUGUAACUACAUUUUUCUGUUUUCCAACUUAUUUAAUAGGAUGAACUGCUGAUUGGUAGAUGAUUUAAGUAGAAAUAUGAAUUAUAUCUUCUCUUUGUACUUUUUAUUUUUCCUCUCUUUAAAGAAUAAAUUGCAUCUUUUCAUUUUGUAACUAGGUUUGCAUUGAAGACCUUGGACAAGCAAACAAGCAUGGAAUCUUUGAGAGACACUGCUGAUUUCUAACCAGAACACAUAAUACGGGCGGAGUUGCGGAAGAUAUAGCUGAAAAGGCUAUUCCAAUUGCACCACCAGGCUUUUGAUCUAUGGAAAGAAACAGAUGAGUGUUUUGGCUUUAAAUUUAAAAGAAGGGGGAAAAACCCUUGUUGUGCACUUUAAGUUUGAUAUUUUUCAAGUCUAGCAAACAAAGAAAAAUGAAAGGGGAAAAAAUAAGAGGAAGAGGGAUGAUUGAUUUGUGAGGGGAUGGAACUUACGGGUUUUCAUCUACUGUGUUUAGUUAGGAUUCUCUACCAUUGAGAAUGUGUUGUUUAUAACAUAAAUGGGGAACUUAGUGGAUCCCGUACGUAUAUUCAUUAAGCUGUAGGUUAUUUUUGGCUUUUGUUUCUUUUUCAUUUUAGUCGAUUACCAGACUGAAUGCAAAGAUAAAUGUACAUCCAUUCAUCCAUCCGUCCUUACUUUAGAUUCAAUUACAUUGUAAGGGUGUAUGACUCUUACAUUAGUCAUACAUGGUUACAUUUACAGUGGCUAUAGAAGGAACAUCAUUGCAUGGCAAUAUACAAUUAUACAUAUUAUCCAACCUGUCAAAAUUCAAUAAUGGAUAUUAAAAUGUAAAGAGCUUCAAUUAACCUGCUCCCCACUUGCUUGCCGUUGCUUCUCUUCUUCAACUUGUUCAAGCAAUGCCUCCAGCUCUGCUUCUGUCAAACCUUCUAGCCGUUUCUGUAAAAAACAAAGAAAAGUUCUUUCAACUUUGUUACAUGCAUUGCUUGCUGAUCGAUAUUCAACCAGUAAGUGAUGCCUAUCAUCUCUUUUUUUUUUUUCUUUUCUUUUUUCAUCGUCUUCCAACAACCUCAACUAUCUUAUAGGCUAGCCACAGAUGUUGACAAACCCUAACCAGUAGAGCACCAAUUUGGAAGAUAAUACCAAAUAGUUGAAAGGAGAAAAGUAUAGAAAUAAAAACCUCCAUGACUUUGACUUCAUAGUCACGUAAUUGUUGAGCGUACGUCAUUUCCUUGUUUGAGACUCUAAAGAUGUACGUCGAAAUCCAUCCCACUGUGAGGCCCAAAACCAUUACCAAUUGAACUACAUUUCCUGCUUGUAAAGGAUCAACUCCCACAAACUGCAAAACCAUCGUCACGGGGUCAUGGUGAAUCUUACAGAAAGAAAUUGCUCAAUAAACCAUCUUAAUGCAUGGUUAAAAGAGAAUGCAAAAACAGCAAAUGUCUAAUUUUGUUGUGGAACUGGAACACGCAAUUAUGGCUAUUCCAAGAAUAAAAACAAGCAUGCAUGUAAAGGCAAAAAGGGCAUAAGCAGAGAGCAAAAAAAAAAAGAAAAAAUCACAAGUGAACCUAGAUACCUCCAAUCCACUUUUCAACCCAACUCCGGCAACAGUGACUCCAAGGCCAAUCAAUAGAACAUCCUUCCUUGUGUAUCCAAAAGGUGUCUGCCCAAGAACAAGCAAGAUAUGAUUUCAGUAUUCCAAGUCAACAAGAUCAACUCAUGGUGAAAGUUGAGCAGGUACUUACAGAACUGCAAAUUAGAUUCUAUAAGAAUAUGUAUGUAAGGAGAGUGAGCAUUCCUCUUCUUUAAAUUAGGUCAUCAGGGUUUCAGAUUUUUUUACUAUUAUUCGGAGAGCUUCUUCCCUCUUUUAACUAAGGGUUAAUUGUUUCAACAAACCAGAUCCAAUACAAUUUCUUUUAGCUACCAGCAUUUUGUCCGGCAUUUGUAGAUCUAAAAUUAGAUGAUACAACUUAUGUUUCUAAUCUAUAUGCAUAUUAUAAAACCCUUUCUCUUUGCUUGAGAAAGAAGCUAGAGAUAAAUUAUACAUGCAUAAUACAGAAAAAAGAUAUAUAUAUAUAUAUAAAGCUCAUUUAUCAGCAGUAUGAAGUUCAUGCCUUAGUUUGAUCUUUACUGUCACUGGAGUUUGUGGACCCGCUACACCUGGGAGCAAAGGAGACCAGUUUCUUUGACCUUGUGUUGUUCAACUCAUUUUGCAGAAAGAGAGAAGCUUCUUUUCUAUGCAAGAUCUGAGGGUCUGCAGUACCUAAGCAAUUUGGGUGGAAUGAACCACAAUCAAAUAAAGCAAUAUAAGGUGUUCGUUAUUUAUACCAAGGAAAGAAAUUUAAUUUAUAUCAGGCCCUUCCAUUAACAUUAAAAAGGAGUCCAGAAGAUAACGGGAACUUCUUAUGGUCCUCAAAAGUGAUCACCAGAAAAAUGCUUCCCUAUUUUUUUAACUAAUGUUUCAUAUAGAAAAGAAAAAUAGAAAGAAGAACAAAUUAUGAACCAUGUAAAGCUAAGUCUUCUUCAAGUCAUCAAAUUACUGGCCAAGAAAAAACCAUAUUGGUAAAACUGCAAUUGCAAUAAGAUGCUUGGGUCAAAUAAGUUCAGGUAGAAACUUUAUUUUAAUCAUAUACAUGCAUAUAUAUAUAUACAUGCAUGCACAUGUAUAACUAUUGAAAAGUUUAACUCAUGAAUGGGGCUUCUCAAUAACAUAAAUCCAUUAACUUUACAAAGGGAAUUAAAAAGAAAGACAUAAAGAAGGAUCAAUCUGGGACAUGCACAGUAAACAUAAUGGGAGAACAAAUACUUCAGUAUUGGGGUCUCACGGUUUCAGGAAUAACAGUUGAUUUUUUAGCAAAUAUCCAUCAACCGAUAACAAGCAUUAAAUCAGCCAAAACUACUAAUAGCCAUGCUAAUGUUGCCAUAAAUAUUUCCCUUCCAGACAAGUUUUGAGUUAUUUAUCAAAAUUAACACUCUCCAGUAAGGCUUCAAAUCAAGAGUUAAAUGAAAUAUGUUUGAAAGACAUUGUACCAGAUCAAAUCAUUAAUAUAUGUCAGAUUUCAGUUUCCUAAUUAAGGAAUAUUUGAGUGUAUCAAAUAGGAUUCUGUAAAUAUUUUCUCCCUAACUUUAAGGCUGUUUUUAGGUACAGCAUCCCUAGAAUUAGUCUGUUUCCUAGUGUGAAGUUUCCUAAGUUAGGCUCAUUAUGUGUAUAAAUAUUUAUGUAAUUUCUUGUGAAAAAUAUAAUCAAAAUAGCCUGUUUUUAACAUGGUAUCAGAGCUUUUUUAGCCCGAUAUUUGGGAUUUUUUUCCUUUGUCUGGCGAUUUUUUUUCCUGACUCCCAACUAGCCCUCAAGCCUGUAGAAUUUGUUCAAACGAAACAUGACUGAAACUGUCAAGAUCAGUAACACUGGGGAUGUCUCAGAAGUUUCUGUGAACAACUCAAACCCAACAAGUGAGUUUCAGAACAUCCAAGUAGCCUACAGGCUAAAUGGGAAAAAUUACCUGAAGUGGUCUCAACUGGUUCGUACGUUCUUGAAAGGAAGAGGAAAGCUGAGUCACUCGGAAUUGGACCUAAAGAAGGAGACCCUAAGUUUGAUGCUUGGAAUGAACAAGACUCUAUGGUAAUGUCUUAGUUAUGGAACUCUAUGAUGCCAGAAAUCAGUGAUACAUGCAUGUUUCUUAACACAUCCAAAGAAAUAUGGGAAGCUGUGAAGCAAACUUAUUCUAAAGUUCGAGAUGCUGCUCAAAUCUAUGAAAUCAAGACUAAGAUUUCAUCCACCAAGCAAGGAAGUCGAUCAAUCACAGAGUAUUCCAAUCUGUUGCAAAGUUUAUGGCAAGAGAUGGAUCAUUACCAGUGCAUUCAGAUGAAGUUCAGUGAAGAUGCAGCACUCCUGAAAAGGUUCGUUGAAAAGGAUCGAAUUUAUGAUUUUCUUGCUAGACUAAAUGUUGAGUUUAAUGUAGUAAGAGUUCAAAUACUUGGAAAAGAGGAACUACCAUCACUAAAUGAGACAAUUGCAAUUGUUCGUGCUAAGGAAGGAAGAAGAGGAGUUAUGGUUGAGAACAGUCAAGUGGAUAGUUCAGCCUUGGUUACAAAAGCUGUAAAUGAGAAGAGAUUUGGCCCGGAGCAGCCAACUAGUGAAGAUAAUAGACAGACAGAAUGUACAAAGCCUAUUAACAGGGAUUCCGUAUGGUGCACCUACUGUAAAAAGGCCCGUCACACUAAAGAAAGAUGCUGGAAACUCUAUGGGAAGCCACAGACAACAAACAAAAAUUUUUCAGAAAAAGGUGGACAACCAAAGGGACAAGGGUGAGCAAAUACAGCAAGACAACUGGAUGGAAAAAAUAAUUCUCAGGAAUCACCUGUUGAAUUCAAUAAAGAAGAAAUUGAGAAGUUAAAAAAUUUGCUGGGAUUAUUGGAAAAAUCUUCUUCAACAGGUACUUGUAGUUUGGCUUUUUCAGGUAUAUCCUCUUUUCAAGAUUCUAAAGUCUCGGAUACAGAUACCAAAAGUUCUUGGGUCAUUGACUCAGGAGCUAGAGACCACAUGACCCACUCCUCACAAAAAUUUGUUUCAUAUACACCUUGUCCUAGUAGUAGAAAAAUAACAGUAGCUGAUAAUUCUGUGAUCACAGUGGCUGGUCAAGGUGAUAUUGUUAUAAACAAAACCCUUACUCUUAAAAAUGUCCUUCAUGUUCCAAAACUAUUUACCAAUCUUUUAUCCAUUCAAAGAAUUACCAAAGACUCUAACUGUAAAGUGCUUUUCUAUCACAAUCGAUAUCUUUUUCAAGAACAAAAUACGAGGAUGAUUGGACAUGCUAAGGAAGUAAAUGGCCUAUACUAUCUUGAAGAAUCCAGUGAAGAAGUUAGUGCUCUGAAUUCCUCACAUUUAUCUUUCAUAUCCAAAUCUAUUAAAACCAAUAAAGACCAAUUUUGGCUCUAUCACCUUCACUUUGGUCAUCCAUUGUUUAGAGUCUUUAAAAUUAUGUUUCCUUCAUUGUUUAAAGGAUUAACUGUUGAAAAAUUUCAUUGUGAUAUCUGUGAACUUGCAAAACAUAAACGUACCUCUUUUCCAGUAAGCAAUAAAAGAACAUCCACUCCUUUUACUUUUAUUCAAGUGAUGUUUGGGGGCCAUCCAAUAUUUCAAUUAUUUUUGGGGCUCGGUGGUUUGUAUCCUUUAUUGAUAAUUGUACUCGUGUGUCUUGGAUAUUUCUUUUAAAACAAAAAUCUGAUGUGAGGUCUGUCUUUCCAACCUUUUACAACAUGAUCAAAACACAAUUUGGAGCUGAAAUAAAAAGGUUUAGGUCAGACAAUGCCAAGAAUUAUUUCAAUCAAUUUCUCUCAACAUAUUUCCAAGAAAGAGGCAUUAUACAUAAGUCAUCUUGUGUUAGUACACCCCAACAAAAUGGUGUUGCCGAAAGAAAGAAUGGUCACAUUUUAGCUAUUACAAUAGCCCUUUUGUUUCAAAAAAAAAUGUCCCUAAAAAAUACUGGGGGAGGCUGUUUUAACUGCUACUCAUUUGAUAAAUAGAUUGCCUACAAAGGUCCUUGAAUCUCAAAGUCCUAUGCAAGUUCUAGCAAAAUUCUUUCCUAAUUUCAAUACUUCAAGUAACUUUACUCCCAAAAUAUUUGGCUGUGUUGCCUUUGUACAUGUUCAUUCUCAAAAUAAAGGAAAAUUUGAUCCACGAGCUGUCAACUGUCUUUCUUGGUUAUUCUUCCACUCAAAAAGGGUACAAAGCUAUCAUUCAGCCACAAAUUUUUUUUUUUGUAACAGCAGAUGUUACUUUUGCAGAACAAGAAAAUUUCUUCACUCGUCCUUAUCUUCAGGGGGAGAUCUUAUUCACAGAAGAUAAGGACAAAGAAUUCUUUCUUCUUGACAUUCCAGCUCCUGUCCAGCAACCAAACAUUCACAUUCCAGCUCCUGUCUAGCAACCAAACACUCCUAUUCCAGCUCCUGUCCAGCAACCAAACACUUCCACUCAGUUAUUGCCUGCUAACCAACCUGCCCGACUUGAAACAAUGGCUCCUAUACAACCUGAAACAGAGCCUAAUACACCCAAAUCACUAAGAGGAAUUCAAGACACUACUCGUCCUUUACUGGUUUACUCAAGGAUGAAGGCACCAAUGCAAGUUCAAUCAUCUUCUUUUCCUAUACGACCUGAGGUAAUUGCUGAACCUACUUUGAAUUCUAAUACUGCAAAUUUAGAAGAUUUUCCCAUUGCUAUUAGAAAGGGGACUAAAGCCUGUACAAAACAUCCCUUGUACCUAUUCAUGUCUUACAAAAACUUGUCCCAUAACCACAAAGCCUUUCUUACUAGCCUAAAUUCUAUCUCCAUUCCCAAAACUGUAUUCGAGGCAUUAGAAGAUGAGAAUUGGAAAAAUGCCAUGAAAGUUGAAAUGGAAACUCUUGAAAAAAAUAAGACAUGAGACUUAGUGAAAUUACCGAGAGGAAAUAAACCAGUGAGAUAUCGCUGGCAUACACAGUGAAAUAUAAGUCAGAUGGUUCUUUGGAGGGGUACAAAGCAAGAUUGGUUGCUAAAGGGUACACUCAAAUGUAUGGAAUAGACUACCUUGAGACAUUUGCCCCUGUUGCAAAGAUGAACACUGUAAGAGUGUUGUUGUCACUAGCUGCCAACCGAGGCUGGAAAUUACAGCAAUUUGACAUAAAAAAUGCCUUUUUACACGGUGAUCUUGAGGAGGAAGUCUAUAUGGAUGUUCCUCCAGGAUUCGGUCUAAAUACAGGACAAGUAGUUUGCAGACUAAAAAAGGCUUUGUACGGACUAAAAUAGUCCUCGAGGGCUUGGUUUGGAAGAUUUACUAAAGUAAUGCUCAAGUUGGGGUAUAAACAGAGUCAAGGAGAUCACACUCUGUUCGUAAAACACUCAUCUUCAAGGGGAGUGACUGUUUUAUUAGUCUAUGUUGAUGACAUUAUAGUGACUGGUGAUGAUCUAGAAGGAAUGGAGAAUUUAAAAAAAUGCCUAGUAAAAGAAUUCGAAGUCAAAGAGCUCAGUAAGUUCAAAUAUUUCCUUGGUAUUGAAGUGGCACACUCUCGGGAAGGAAUAUUCAUAUCUCAGCAAAAAUACAUAGUUGAUUUGUUGACAGAGACGGGCAAGUUGGGCUGUAAACCAGCAGAGACACCCAUAGAGGUGAACCGCAGACUUGGAAAUGCACUAGAAGAUGCAGCAGUUGAUAAAAGGUCAUAUCAAAGACUUGUGGGGAAGCUCAUUUACUUGUCUCAUACCAAACCAGAUAUUGCCUAUGCAGUAGGUGUUGUAAGUCAAUUUAUGCACAAUCCCAAAGAAUCACAUCUUAGAGCUGUAUAUCAGAUUCUACAGUACUUAAAGGGCACGCCAGGCAAAGGAAUCUUAUUUAAAAAAGGGGAGAAUUUAACCCUUGAAGCCUAUACUGAUGCAGAUUAUGCAGGAUCUAUGGUUGAUAGAAGAUCAACCUCGAGCUAUUGCACUUUCCUAGGAGGCAACCUUGUGACUUGGAGGAGUAAAAAACAAAAUGUUGUGGCUAGAUCUAAUGCAGAAGCUGAAUUUAAGGCGAUGGCUCUUGGAGUUUGUGAGUUGUUAUGGCUAAAAAUUAUUUUGGAAGAUUAGAAGAUCAAGUGGGAAGGUCCAAUGAAGUUGUAUUGCGAUAAUAAGUCUGCUAUCAAUAUUGCACAUAAUCCAGUUCAACAUGAUCGAACGAAGCACGUUGAGGUUGACAGACAUUUUAUAAAGGAAAAACUGGACAGUGGCUUAAUUUGCACUCCAUUUGUGUCCACUGAUGGACAACUAGCAGACAUACUUACCAAAGGAUUGUCUGGGAAGUUGUUUCAGAAAUUAGUAAGCAAGCUAAGAACGGAUGAUAUCCACUUCCCAGCUUGAGGGGGAGCGUCAAAUUUCAGUUUCCUAAUUAAGGAAUAUUUGAGUGUAUCAAAUAGAAUUCUGUAAAUAUUUUAUCCCUAACUUUAAGGCUGUUUUUAGGUACAGCAUCCCUAGAAUUAGUCUGUUUCCUAGUGUGAAGUUUCUUAAGUUAGGCUCACUAUGUGUAUAAAUAUUUAUGUAAUUUCUUGUGAAAAAUAUAAUCAAAGUAGCCUGUUUUUAACAAUAUAGGUAACAAGGCCUACCUUGAAGAUGAGGCCAGAAAGAAAUUCUAAUUGAUCCGGGGCAGCAUAUUAGGUCCACAAAAACCAAUAAAACAUAAAGACAUCAGGAGAAACAUAAAAAUAACUGCGAAACGAACAACAAAGGCUUUGGUAUCAUGUUAAGCUUACAUACCAAACCCAUAUUUACUUUGUUAGCUUAACCCAUAUUUCCCUUCUUCAUUUUAACUCUACCAAGCAAAAGAUAGACAUUUUCUUUCAAAUUUUUCUAUCUUUCCUACCAAUCACACCAAUAAAAAGGAAAAACAUGUUCUCUAUCUUUGCGCUUUCCUCCUCUUCCAUUUUUCUUUUCAGCAAGCCAAGCCUAAAGGUAUUUGUGCUUAUGAGAAUGAAAAAAUGGAAGGAUGAUAUGAGGAAGAUGGAAAACUGAAAAAAAAAAAAUUGCAUUUUGAGUAUGUUUGGUAGGAAAGAAAAUAAGAAAUUCAAUUACUUUCUAUCUUAAUGUAGAAAAACAAAUCAUUCCAAAUUGAAACAAUUGGGGAGAAAAUAAUAGAAAUGUGAGCAAAGUGUGCAUAUUUAUAAGAUUAUCCAUCAUUUUUUAAAUUUAAUCUUUUUAUUUAAUUUGCAAAGGGUGUAAUGAUAUAAUAAUUUAAUUUUCGUUUUUCUUUCAACUCUACAAGUAAUGGAUGGAAAAUAAUUACGGUUUCUUUCUUCUUCUUCUUUCUAAUUUUUCUUACAAAGCACACUAAUGGAAAGAGCAAAAAUAUUUUUUCCCUCUUUUUUCACUUUUCUCCAAUUUUUCAUAUUUCAAAUUUUCAUUCCACCAUACCAAAUCAAGCCUAAGAGAUUCUAUAAGCAAAACAAAUGAUUUAGCAUAUCAUUAACUAACAGGACUGCAAUUCACCACUCUCAAACUUAAUCAAUACCUACAAUUUCAGAUGCUUUGUGGCAAAUCCCAAACAAUUAAUUGAAAUCAACAAUUUAUAACAGUCCAACAAAGUAUUUACUGCUGGCAAUAGAAUAAAACAUUGUUCGAAUUUCAGCAGAAGAACUUACACAAAGCAAAACAUGCAUAGGGGAGCAUAGGGGAAGCAAAGGAACUUACCCCGUAUGAAAGAAGCAGUAGUUGAUUUAGUUGAAGGUAGCAAUAAAGGAAAAGCCGAAAUUCCCAGAAAAGGAAUGGGCUUAUUUGGAUGUACAUGCAGAAGAGAAGGCAUCUCCACAGAAAUUCUUUUUGUUUUCCUGAGGAAAAGAAUAAAAAAAGAACAACAGUUCAUGUAUGGUAGUGGAAGUAAAUCUCAUUUUCAGGCUACAAAACAUAAACUCUCAUCUUUUUUUCCAUUUGCAGUUUCUAACAAAAAUUAUUUGUAAUCGAUUGAUAAUAUAAUUCAAAAACUAACAAAACAUUGUUUAAAUGCCAAAAUUGGUUGGAACUGUUUCCAGGUUACAACCUAUAGGAUGUUGAUUAGAGAGUUAACAAGCUUCAGGAGGUUUAUCCUUCUUAAUAAGUGCUGUAAAGAUUAUAGCAAAUGCCCACCAUCUCAAACAAUGUUGACUAGUUUUUAAAAAUAAUUAUCUUCCUGAAUGUCAUGAAUAUAUUUAAUAUAUUUAUACUUCAUAAACUGAUUUCAUUGAUGAACAUUAAAAAAAUAAAAAUAAAAAACUUUCAGAGACGGAAGUACUGUUAAUUUUCUGCUUGCAUAUCAAGAAAAAGAGAAAAUAUGGAAGAAAGGAAAAUACCCAGAUAGAAGACUAGUAAGCACCGAGGGGUUGAGUGAAAGGCGAUGAGGCUCGCAACGUUGCAACUCUGGACUGCUAUGGUUUUAGAGGGAAGAAGAGGAUUGUGUGGCAGUACCUACCUAGUUUCUUGUGUGUUUAGAUAAAGUGGUACAGUUUCGAAAUUAAUUACAAAAAUAAGGUCAGAUUUUGUAAUUAUGCUAUGUAUUUUCUUCAACUUAGGGAAUUAGAUUUUUCUUGAUUUAUUUUUAUAUUUUAUAAAAUUUUAUUUUAAAAAAAUCUAAAACUUUGAAAUAUUACAAAAAAAACUAAAAAUUGUAACAUAAUUUAUAUAUUUUUUUAAAUCUUAUAAAAAUUUAAAUAAUAUAUAAAAUUUAAAAAACUAUAAAAAUUAUAAAAAUCUAAAAUUAUAAGGAAAAAUCUAAAACUUUCUAAAAAUACAUAGAAAUUUUUCUAAAAAAAAAAAGAAUGAUAUAUUAUUAUUUGAAAUUAUAAAAAAAUUCUAAACUCAUUAAAACUGCACUUUUGGAAUUAAUUCAAGUGCAUUUAAAUUUGUAUUCACGUAAAUAAAAAAAUACUUUUUAGAAAAAUAAAAAUAUAUAUUUAAUUUUUUUAAAAAGAAUAAUACAUGUUAACUGUGUCAGCUAAGUAGCUAAAAAAAUACCAAUUUAAUUAACAAUUUUUAAAUUCAAAUAUCAACUAAAUUAAAAAAAAAGUAAUUAAAUAUCAACUUGAAUUACUUCGUCAAAUUUAGGGGCUAAAAUGAUAUUAACCCGUACAUCAACCACCAAAGGUUUAUGCAUGUUUACAUGUUCAUGCAAUUUCAAAUUUCAUUCUUCCCUUUAGCAACCUUUCUUUUAACAAUAGUGGCAAAACUUACAACUUUCUUUUUCAAAACUAGAAAUCCUUUUGUUAUAAAUGAACAGUAUGAUCCAAUCAACUUUGUUGACUUGCUCUGAAACAUGAUGUAUUUAUAUUUUUGAAACUGAAGAAUGAAACUAGCGUAAGAGGGAGGGAGAAGAAGAGUUGCAGGCAGCCUGGGGAAAGCGCAUGGUGGAGUGCCAAAGAUGUCAACUCCAAGUAGGUGUGCUUUCAUAUUGACCAGCUGGUUGCAGAUCUCAAACAAAUCAUAUCAAAACAAAAACAAAGCCUAGUACAUAUAAUCUCAUCUUCCUGCCUUCCUUUGAUGGGCCUCCAUCCCUUUUUUUUCUUAAUUAAUUAAAUAAUAGUGUCAAAUCUUAUAAUUCAACCGAAAAGUAUAAGCUACAACAGUAAAAUAUGGAGAAUGCAGAUUCAACUUUGAAUAUUACAUUCUUGAUGGACAUGAAAAUUUUAGUUGGAGUAAUAUAAGAUCCCUAAAAUGAGAGGAAAAGGAAGGUCAUGUUUCCAAACAUGGGCUACUCUGAAUCAGAUUUCCUCUUGCCCACGAAAACGUGUAAAACCCCAUUGGAACCACCUGCAACAAGUGUGCACUGGUCUUCAUUGACUUGCCUCCAGCACACACUGCUGACGAAAGCAUGCUGAUGGUCGGAGCUAUCUCUACCCACAGGCUCGAAGCCAUGCACCCAAAUGGGCUCACCCCACCUGGUAUCAUAAACGAACACCUGGUUAUUUUCUGAUCCGCAUCCAAGCAACCCUCCAUGCCUCCAAACUGACAACCCCACAAAGCUCCGACUGUUUACGUGCCCUUUGUAUGUUCUAAGUAAACGAGAAUCAACGAUAUUCCAUAGUUUUAAACACCCGUCGGUUCCAGCGGAAACCAGUGUUUGGGCAUUCAGAAAUCUAACGUAUGUUAUGGUUUUCGUAUGUCCAUCGAAAAUGUGUACGGGCUCCACCAUUUUCCGUACAUCAUAGACGUAGGCCUUCUUGUCGGCGCAUCCGGCGGCUAUCAAUGCAUCUCCGAAGGGGUUGAACUCCACGCAACAAACCGAGCUGCGUGACUUCGUGGGCUGCACCUUAGCCACACUUCCCCCUCCUUCGCCGCAGCGUGGGUCCCACAUUUGCAUGGUGCCAUCGUCCGAGCCAGAUGCCCCGAGGAACGGAUCCGAAUGAGAAUAGUCGACGCUCCAAACCCGCCUCCCACCAUGCUCGUCACGUUCGAAGAUUGGCAACUUCGUCUCUAUAUCAUACUCCAUGACCACACCGUCGUAGUCUCCGGAACCCAAGAUGCGGCCUCCGGUCCCGGGUUUCCACCUAAGGCUACUAAGCUUAGCUGGGGUAAAGAUGCAAUUAUCACACGCAUUAGUAUGGUCUAGAAACGCAAUACUUUGGUGCUUACCUUGAGAAUGGACAGUCUCUUCUUGAGGCCGCAACAAAGAAUUCAAAGUGUAAAUCCUAAUCUUCCUUGCAAUCCCUCCGGUUGCUAAGAUGGUAUUAGAAGGGUCGAAUUCGAUGACUCCAAGGGUGUCAGAGACGGUGGCGUUGGCGGUGGAGGAGACAACGGUGGCGAGUGAAAAAUCCCACUCACAACGAGCGGCUGGUUGUUUUUCUUCUGCGGAUAGUUUGGUUUCAUGGCCUGGGACGGCGGGGGGAUGGAAUCCGGAGGAGAAAUCGUUCAUUGCCCAUUCAAAUGAAAUGGAGAUGGAGGCAUAUAUGGGAGGGUUUUGGACCAUCAAACCAAUGAAAGGCUCCCAUACACCCAACUCAACUAAAGCGCAAUCAAAUUGGUGUGUGGUGUGGAUAACUAUUGAUAUUUAUUUUCGCUUAUAAUUUUAGCACACCCAUAACCAUUCUCAUAUUUUAAUUCAAUGCUCCCUCUUAAUGUUCUUUUACAGUAAUGCCAUUGCUUAAAUUAUUAUUCCAAAAAUAAUUAGGGUAAAUGAGAUGAAUAGUCACCAUUUCAUCAUUAAAAAUUUUCGAUUUAGUAACAAAGUUUUCAAAAAUAACUAAUAAAAGUCUGGCACGGUUUUUUUUAAUUAAUUCUUCAAUAUUUAUAUAAUUUUAAUCCUCAAAAACUUUUUUAAAAAAUCUGAAAUUCUUUUAAAAAAUGGUAAGCAUUUAGUUGAUAUCUAAAAACUUUUUAAAUUUAUUUUAGUACUUUAACAAAAAUAGAUAGCGGUAUUAAAAAUAUGAAUUAAUUAAUAAUAUUAUAAAAAUAAGAGAAUUAAAUUAUAAAUUUUUACAUAGUAAAAAUAAAACAGUUAUUGACCAUUCACUUUUCUACAACAAAAGAAAAGGAUCUCGCCAUCAUGUCAAGCUAAGAAAGAACGCACAUUUUAAUAUAAUAUUUGGUAUUUAAAUUUCACUUUUUUCUUAAUUUAGUAUCUAAAUUCUUCUUAUCUAUUUGGUAAUUGAAGAUGACACUUUUUCUUUUUAAUUUCUAACUUAAGUUUUUUUGGGGUUUAAUUUACUAUUUAAACUUAUCAAAUGUUAUACAAAUUACCCAAAAUACUGAUGGUGCUAGUUUUUUAUGAGGGGUCAAAAAUAACUAAAAUAUGACCGACGUAUGGUAGAUGACAUGAAAUCUAAUGACAUAAAUGAUUACAUUAUAUUAAUUUGAAGUUUUUUCUGUUCACUAAUAUACUCAAAAUUUACUUUUCAUUUGAAUUGAGAUUGCUUUAACUAUUAAUUUCAAUAAUGAUUCAAGAGGAAUCACAAUCUUAAAACAUGGCCUAGUUUUCAUAAAGCCCUUAAUUCCACAAAAAUAUUAUUUGUAUGAGAGGAAAUUUGUGAUUUCAACCAUGCUUAAUGAAUGGAUAUUGAAGAAGAAAAUAAUAGUUUUAAAAAACUAAAAUAGAAAAAAAGGAUUAUGUUAAAUUAAGAAGACAUAAUGACUUAUUUGGCCCUCCAACUUUAUAAAAAAUUUAUUUUAGCCCUCUAUUUAAAUUUUCGCCUUUUUUAGCCAUUAAACUUGUAUAUUUGUCAAACCACCCCAAAUGAAUGGAAAAGGUAACUUUUUUAACUUUGUUAACAUGAGAUACAUGUGGAUUGUCCUGUAGGUGACACUUCAGGAUUUAAUUAAUUUUUUAAAAUUUAAAAUUUUCAAAAAAUAUUUUUUUAAAGUAAAAAUCAUUAAAAUUAUUAAUAAAUAUUUUUAGAUAUUAAAAGAAUAAUUAAUUAUUGACAUGUCAUUUACGUGCAUGUCACGUCAAUAAAGUUAACAAAUAUUAACUUCUCCAUCUAUUGUGGGACGAUUUGAUAAAAAAAAUUGCAAGUUCAAAUGCUAAAAAAAGCGAAAUUUUAAAUGGAAGGCUAAAAUGACUUCUUUGUAAAGUUGAAGGGCCAAAAAAGUCAUUAUGCUAAUUAAAAAAUUAAAUAAAUUAAACUAAAAGUAAUUGAUCAUUUAAGUUACAAAAAAGAAAUUUCAUGCUUUUUACCACAUGUCAAUCAUACAUCGGUUAUUUUUGCUAUCUCAUAAAAAAAAAACAUUGUUAGUAUAUUGGAGCAAUUUGUUUAAUGUUUGACAAGUUUAGUCAUCAAAUUAGGAAAAUAUGUCAAGUUUAGAAAACAAAUUGGACUAAAAAUAACUUAAGGACCAAAUUAGAAGAAAAUGUCAAAUUUAGAUAUUAAAUUAAAAAAACUUAAAUACUAAAUUUAAAAAUAUAUCAAUUUUAAAUACUAAAUGUUAUAUUAAUCCUUUCUACUUCCGAACAUCUCUGUUUUAGAAUAUAUAAACUAAACAAUAUUUUAAUUAAAACAUCUUGAAUACGAAUGCUUACAUGCUGCACCACCUCCCGCUAAUCGGUUGUUCUUACAUUUUAGCUUAAGGACUACUCUUCAGUCCUUACUCCUUAGGCCUAAACCAGCAAUUUUACCAAAUUAAGAAGGAAGCCUUAAACAAGCAAUUUCAUUAAAUUAAGAAGGGACCAAGGCUCCGUGCCUGUCCCUUCAGGCUCGUCUCUAUCGAUUAUUUUAAGUGAGUUCUCUAAAAUUAAUUAUUUAUUAGUUUAAAAUUUUUAAAAUUUUAUUUAUUAUUAUUGUCUUCACUUUUCUACAUUUUAUUAAUUAUUUUUCACUCUUAGCCGACUUUAAUGACUUUUAUUUAUGAUGAAGAAUAACUUAAUAAAAUAUAUUUUUAAAUAAUUUUAUAUUUUAUUAACUAUACAAUUAAAUUUUACAUUCCAAUCAAAUAAAUAAAAAAAUUUAAAAUAAUAUUAUGGACACAAAACCACAAUUUAUUGUAAAUAAUUUUUUUAAAAUAAAAAUAUCAAUAGCCGAAUUAAAUCUAAACAAUUAUUGAUGUGCAGUUUGAAAAACAUCUCAGUUUUUCCCUGUUUUUAUGGAUAUUUUAUCGGUUGAUUAUGGUAUUUUACAAGUUAAAAAAAAUACAACAUUGAAAUAUUAAUAACGAUAAGGAAAAAUACGACAUUCUUUCAUCAAUUUGUAAAUACAGUAUAGGAGGGAAAGACAUGGGAAGGGAGAAUAUUAAAUGCGAAUGAAGGGGGGACGUUGCCUCUUUUUAUACCUCAAGUUUGUCUAUGGUGUGGAGAAAGGCUUUGUUUUCCUUUAUGUUUAAAAUAUUUUUCCAAAUUAAUUGUUUUAAAAUUCGAAAUUUCAUGAUUUUUCUUUUUAAUAAUAUCAUAUUCUCGAGAAAUUAUUUAUGGACCAUUCUCACUACAUGUCUCUUUUUAAUUAUUCAAUAAUGUUUCAACAGUUUUUUUCCAUGUUAUCUAUAUAUAAUAUUGGUAAUCUUUUAUUACUCAACUAUAAAUUUCAAACUCUAAACUUUAAAAUCCAAGAUUCAUGGUUCAUGUUUAGGGUUCCAGAUUCUGGGUUUGACAUUUCAAGUUUGGAGUUCAAGAUUUUGAAUUUAAAGUUCAAGGUUUAAGAUAAAAAAUUUAUCAAAAUUAUAUAUUAAUAAUAUAAAAAAGAAUUAUUAAAAUGUUAUAAAAUAACCGAAAAAAUCAUAAAUAAUGUAGUAGAAAAGACCUAUAAAAUAAUUUCUCAAUGUUGAGAGUUUAGAAUAUAAGCUUUUUUAGAGUAUCACAUUUAUGUAAUAGGCAUAUGCUUGCUUUGCAUCGCAUUGCAUGGUAGGGUGGUUCAACGGUGGUUCAUGGCUUACGUGGAUUAAGCUUGGCCUUUUAAUUUGUCAUCCCACCUCAACUUAUUUUCGCAUCCCUGCCUUAACUCCAACAACUACUCUAAAAUAUCAUUCAACUGACUGACAAUGUCAAUUUCCCUUAUUCCAAUUUCCUAUGGUCCUCCUCCUCUACCGCUUCUCAAUCUCAUACACUCCUUUCUUCUUCCUCUUAAUUGCUAUUUCCUUUUACUUUUAAAUGCAUAGCCACCUACGGGAUUGUAGGUUUCCUUCUAUGAUUUUAUUAAUUUAUCUUUAUUAAUGUAUUAAAGUUGGGUGCAUAUAUAAGUUAGAAUUGAGAAAUUAUUAAAAAAUAUUUUUCAAUUUAAAAAAAUAAUAAAUAGUAUUAUGAAUGAGUUUUUUUUUGUAAUUUUAUAUUUUUAUAAAAAAAAUAAUUUAAGCCUAGAAGUGAGCCUUUUAUUUAUGUUACAUAUUUCUUUAUACAUUUAAUUUUACAUAUUUUUCACUAUAUCACGAGUCUAUCAUAAUCUAAUUCCUUUUAAAUAUUCAAUUUAAAUAUAUUAAAUUAUUAUAUAUAAAUUCAAAUUAGUUUAUUUAAAUUAUAUAAUAUUAAAUAUUAAAUAAAUAGUGAAUCCAAGCUAAUGGGUAGAGUCGAAAAUUAAGUUGGGUAGCAAUCCAAGUUGGUCCAUGGAUAGUCUAAACACACCCACUAACAUAUGGUCCAAAGAUAUAAUAAAUUAUUAAGAGAUGAUACCUGUAAAUUUUAUAGACAAUAAAAUAAAUAUGAACGUCUAGUAUGGGUGUAGAGCAUGGAGCAAAUGCGCUUUGGUAUUGAGACACACAGACAAAACGCCGUCGCUAUGCGUUAGUGUUGAGAAGGGUUGAUGGAGUAUUGAGUAUAUCUCAUUCACUUUAAUGGAAAAUGGAAGAGGAGAUAAGAUGUGGACAACAUGCAGGCAGGACCACUUUCUUCUAGAUUGCCCCUACCUCUUUCUGCAGCUGGUGGAUAACUGGAUAUAUGCGUAUCUUUAUAUGUUCUUCCAGUUAGGGCAAAACAAAAGGAUACCCUGCAUGUUUCUUAUCCAUUAUUGAAGACACGCGACAGUGCUUGAACAGCCCCCGGCCCCCUCUUUUUAUCUUAUAAAAAAAUUGAAAACAUUCCCACCUAACGCAAGUUGAUUCAUGCAACAACUACCAAACAAAUCUAUAUAUGUUAAAAAUGUAUUGAUAACUCGGGUCGGGUUAAGUUUAGAUCCGUUCCAUGCAAGAUAUAUCGACCACCUUUUUAAGUUUAGGUUCGACCCAGUUUGGAAAUGAAUUUUUUUGUCUAUGCUCGACCCAAUUUAAUAAAGGAAAAUUCAAGUUUGAACCGACUUGCUCAUAUUUAAUUUUUUUAGAUUAAUUUUUAUUUAAUUUUAAAAUAUAUAUAUAAUGCAAUAAAAAUGCUAAAAUAAAAGUUUUCUAACAUAUUAAAAAUAUGGGUAAACUACAAAAAUAGUCACUUUUUUUUGCUUCAGAUUGCAUUUUUGUCACUUAUGUUUGAAAUGUUACGUUUUAGCCACUUUUGUUAUAUUUUGUUACGUAGCGGUCACUCUACUGUUAAACUCUGUUACCUCCCUAAUGGCAAUCUUACGCGGCAGUCCAAAUAGGUUUUAAAUGCUAACUUGGAUGUCCAAUUGCUGGGAUGAAAAUAAAUUUUUAAUUAAAUAAAUUUAAUUUAGACUGCCAUAUAUGAUCCCAUUAGGGAGGUUACGGAGCUUAAAGGUAGAGUGAUCACUUCGUAAUAAAACGAUAACGUAAGUGACUAAAAUGUAACACUUCAAACAUAAGUGACUAAAAUGUAAUCUAAAGCAAACAAACAUGACUAUUUUUGUAGUUUACUCUAAAAAUAUGUUAAAAAGUGUUUAUAUUAAAAAACACUAUCAUAAAUAUAAUAAAUAUUUUAUUGUAUUAAAUAUAAUUUUUAAUAUUUUAUAUUUUGAGUUGAGUUAUUUAGUUGGAAAGUGUAUUUUGUUAGGUUUUGGGUAAUGGGUUUAAUUAUUAUUGGGUUAGUGAUUCAAUAUAAAUAUAUAUAAUUAGUAUUUAACAUAUAUAAUUAAUAUAAUAUUUUUUAUAAGAUAAUAUAUUUGGGCCGAGCUUGGGCCAAAAAAAUAUUACUCAAAACCCAACCUUUUUAAGAAAUGGGCCUUAAAAUUUACCCAAAUUCAUUUUUCAAACCUCAUAUUUUAUCUAAGUCCUUCCUUUUUAGACAGGCCUUCGAGACUGGGUAGGUGACCCAACUCAUGAGCAUGUCUAAUACACCUAUAUUUUAAAGUAGUAUCCAUCAUAUUUUCACGUCCUCUUUUAUUUUUUACAUUUAGAGAAAUGAUUAAAUUUUAGUUUUAGUCCCUCUAUUAUGUCUAAAUUUGAGAUUUAAACUCUAUACUUUAAUAGUUUAAUUUGUAAAAUAAUUUGAUGUUUGUAUUUUUAUAAUGUUAUCAAUUACUCCAAAUAAUUAAUAUUUUUAACUUUUCAAUUAAAAUAUUACACGAUUAUAUAUAGUUUGAAUGUUAUACGAGUUUUAGAGACUAUAACACAUGACUUCUCAUUUCUUUUACGCUUGCGCUGUAUUUUUUACAUUAUAACACAAUAUUCAAAUUUCAAUUUUGGCCCUUAAACUAAGUUGAAACUUAAGAUUUAUCUAUAUGCUUUACUUUUUGACAUAAUUUGACCCAUUUGCUUUUAUAAUGUCAUUAAUUGGUCUAAGUAAUUACUAUUAUUAACUAUUUCAAUCAAAAUGACGAUGUCAGUUUUUCUUAAGAAUACUAUUCUAACAUAAAAUAAUUAUUUUAUAAUGACAAGUUUGAAUGAGUGUUUUUAAAUAUAUUUAUUAAUCAAUAUUUCUAAUGUUAUUUUUAACAUUACAUGACUAUCAGGUGUGUUUUUUUCUAAUUUCAAAAUAUGAUACCAAAGAAAUUAAUAGAAGAAUUUUAAAAGUGGUAAUAAUUAGACUCGAAAUUUUUAAUCUAAAAAGUAGAAGCAUUAAAUUUCUAAAUAUAAAUGUAAUGAGACUAAAUUUUAAAUAUGUGAAAUAUAUACUGACCCUAAACUCUAAAUCUUAAGCCCUAUUUUUUUAUUUAUGUUUAAUUUAGAACCCUUAUUUUUUUUCCUGCCUCCAGCUUUCUAAUAGUCAGUAAUACGUUGUUCUUGCUGCUGUUGAAACCCCAACUUUCAAUCUCUUCAAACUAACUACACACCUUGUUAUUUAUUAAGAUUGAUGUCAUGUUUAAGAUAUUAUCAUGUAAGAAUGGGUGCAUUAUUUAAAUGAACAACUCCUCUACUGUUUGCAUUACCAUAUUUCAACGCUACUUUUGUGGUAGAAUCUGAUUCCUCAAGUGGUGGCUAUAAGAGGCAACCGAGCAUCAAUCCUUUCCAACCUAGAACGAGUGCACUAUACCAAAAUUGGUAUAUGCUUCGAGAGGUAAACUCUUUUACUUCAUUAAAACUAAAAUCGGUUUUCACCUCGCUAGCUCCUUAAAUAUUUAAGGUAUAAUAUCUUUUUAUAUCUUUAAUUGAGUAAUAUUUUCUCGUGUUAUUGGUAGGAGUGUUCGGGUAUUUAUACAUGUUAUUAUAGAUGUUAUUACAACUCAUAAUCAAGCCCCACUAUUUUGUUUUGACUCUGCUACCUCUAAUACUGACAUUCUCUGCGAACUCUAGGUCUACUGGGUACGUAUUCACGGAGCACGCCGUCCUUUCUAUCCAUGGGACUGAUUCUAGGUGGACUCCAUGCCUGUUGGACACGUGUUUAGAUGGCAUGUGGAGCACGUGGUCCUUUCUGCAAGCUCCUUGGGUAUAUGCGGGCUAAGACCAAGGCUAACAUAUGUUCUUGCGAGCUGGGUCCGUGAGCUCACUUUGCUGUCCUUUCGUCGUUUGCCUUGCACUCAAUCUUCUGGUAGGACCUAUCCAAGUUACGGGUUAGAGACCUGAAUCCCUUCUAGGACUUGGGUUGGUGAUUACUAAUGUAUAACACCUUUCAAUUUUAUAAAUAAAAAAAAAGUCACUUUAAUUUUCCAUCUAAAUUAAAUAGAUAGUUAAAAUGACUUUUUUGUAAAGUUUGAAGGCCAAAUAAGUUAUUAUGUCUUUUUAAAUAUGUGUAACCCUAAUAUAUAUUGAGAUAAAUGAUCUAUUUAUAUAAAUUAACUUUUAAUCCAAUAUGUAAAUCAAGUAUGUGAAUGAAUGGAUAGACUUUAAUUGUUAUUAAAGCAAUUAAAUUAAUUCUAUAAAAAAUAAUUAAUUUAAUUAAUACUUUGAAUAAUAAUUUAAUUAACUUAAAUAGAGCUUGUAAAACCUUAAAUUAAGUUGUUUAAUAUCAAUAAUAUGAGCUAAAAUCUUACAUACCCUCACUUUAUCCAAUUUAUAAAAUAUAAACUUUAAUAAUACAAUUAUUGAGUGUGCAUUAUAAAAUAUAAUAUUAAUUAUUAUUUCUUCUUUAAUAGGGAGGAAAUUUUUUUAAUUCAAUGCACUUCUACUUAUAAACACCCAAAAUUCUUAAAUCGAAAUAUGUAUGUUUUGUAAUACUCCUUACCCGAGACUGUUGCCAGAAUCGAGCACGAGGCAUUACUAAACUUAAUCUAUCACUUAAAUAGUUUUAAAUUGUUUAUUUAAGCUUUUCGGAAUGUGCUGCCAUUCUGCGUCGUAGUCGCCUAAAAAUUCAUAUCUUGAGUUCCAAAACUCAAAAUUAAGAUCCGUAAAUUUUUCCUGAAACUAGACUCAUAUAUCUAUCUACUAAUUUUUUUCAUAGAUUUUUUACUUGGCCAAUUAGUACAGUUUAUUAGUUAAAGUUUCCCUUGUUUCAAAACUCGACUGCACUAACCUCUUCUUGCUACGACAUGUUUCUUCCUGUACAAAAUUCAUAUAACUAAGCCGUUUGUUUCUCUUAAAACUAGACUCAACAAGGAUUAUAACCAUAUAAAGUAAACCUUCUAAUUAGUUUUGUACAAUUUAUGGUGAAUUUCCAAAUUUGAAACAGGGGAUCCAGAAAUCGCUCUGACCCUGUUUCACUAAAACUCAGAUAUAUCAUAUAAUAUAAUACCUUUACCUGUUUUUCUUAUUCCAUAAGAAAAUAGACAUAAUAAGCUUUAAUUUAAUAUAUUAUUCAUCUUCAAACUAUGUUUCUACAAUUUUUAGUGAUUUUUCAAAGUUAAGUCAUUUCUGUUACUUGAAUCUGUUUUUAGGUUACUUUCACAUUUUUCAUAAUUUUCAUGUGAUAAUCACCAUUCAAUCAUACAUAUUAAUAAACAUGCAUAUCAUCGGCCAUUUUUAUUAGCUAAUCACUAGCAAGUAUUUACACAUCAUUCAUUGUUCAUAUUAUACCAAAAGUAGCUAAGUUUCUAUACAUGCCAUACACAAAAAAAACGUCUAAUUAUACCGAGUUAUUUCUUUGAUAGUGUGAUCGGCCUCCGACGUUUCCUUCGAUCCCCGAGUGGCUAGAUAAGUACUAUAAGAAGAAGAAAAUAAAGAGAUUAAGCACUAGGCUUAGUAAGCUUACAAGCAAAUAAAUCACAACAUUCAACAUAAUGGAUAAUUAUGCAUAAUAUCAUCUAACAUCAUAAAUUUCUUUACUUCUCAAUUUCUAUCUUCUUCUUUAUUCCCUUACCUUCUUUCUUACCUGACCUUUCCUUUUUCAUAAAUAUAAUCUACUUUUCCUUUGCUGUUAAUUCACUGUAAUUUAACUCGUAUUCUGACCCGUUGAACCACUCGGAAUACUAAGGAUACUAGGGUCAUUCCUGUCUAUCAAUACCCUGCCAAUGCCAUGUCUUUGACAUGGACUUACAUGAAUUAUUCCUGUCUCCAAUGCCAUAUAUAAUAUGGACUUACAUGGCUCAAUCCUGUCUCCAAAGCCAUAUUUCUAAUAUGGACUUACAUGGCUCAUUUUUGUUCUGUCCUGUCAACCCUAAUAUCCUAACAUUCCUAGGGUUCAACCGGGGCUUUCUAACACUUUUCCCCUGUCACUUCACCUUAAAUUCGACUUUAAAUAUUUUCAUAACAUAAAUAUAUAAAUGCUGGAAAUUGACAAUAAUAAUGUAAAAUAAAAGAAUAUUGCAUUUAUUUACUGUAAACUUACCUCGAUACAAAAUGUGACUAAAGUUUACAAUUUAGUCCUUUACUUUUUCUUUUCCCCGAUCUACUCCCGAAUUUCGCUCUUCUUGAUCUAUAAUAGCAAAUUUAGCUUAUUUAAUAUCAACAUUUAUCAAAACAACCCUUUACUCAAACUUUGGAAAAAUCACAUUUUUGCCCCUAAACUUUCACAUAUUUUCACUUUUGCCCCAAGGCUCGUAAAUUAAACUUCAUCCUAUUUUCUUAUGUUUUAUGACAUACUGAUCAUUUUUCCCUUCUAUGACAACAUCAAAUUCACACACUAACAUGUACUUAUGACUAUUAGGUAUUUUUACCGAUUAAGCCUUUUUACUCGUUUUCACUUAAAACCAAGUAGCACAAGUUGUCUAACAUAAUUUAAAGCCUCAUAUUCCAUCAUAAAACAUCAAAAUACACAAAUUUCUCCUAUGGGUAUUUUUCCAAAUUUGAUUCCUAACUUAAAUUAUUGCUAGCAUAAGCUUUAUCGAGCUACCGGGACUUAAAAAAUGUAAAGAUCAUUAAAAUCGGGGCUUGGAAUCACUUACUAUAAAGCUUGAAAGUUGAAGAAACCCCAGCUAUGGAGAGAGGUAAGGUUCGGCUGGUAACUUGAAGAAGAUGAUACAAUUUUAUCAUCUUUUUACCUUUUUAUUAAUGUUAAUAACCAAAUGACCAAAAUACCCCUCCUUACUAAACUUUCAAAAAUUCCUUCCAUGUCCUAAUUUUGUCCAUGAACUUAAAAUUGGUCAAAUUACCAUUUAAGAUCUCCUAAUUAAUAUUCCAAAAUAAUUUCAUACUAAAAACUUCUAGAAUGCAAGUUUUGCAAAUUAUUCGAUUUAGUCCCUAACCUCAACUUAAGCACUUUAUGCAUAGAAUUUUAUCACGAAAUUUUCGCACAAUCAUGUAAUCAUACCAUGAACCUCAAAAUAAUAAUAAAAUAAAUUUUUUUUCUACCUCGGAUUUGUGGUUUCGCAACCACUGUUCCGUUUAGGCCCUAUUUCGGAAUGUUACAUGUUUAAACUUAUUCUUUUUAGUUAUUACAAUAGUAAUUAAACCAACUAAACUAAGAUUGAAUGAUUUUUUUGGGCACAUAAAGGAGUUUUAUUGGAUGAACUUUGUUAAUAGAGGUGAUUAUCGGUCGGUCUAAGUCAGAUUCGGGUCAGAUUUCAAUAGAAUUUUAGGUUUGGACUUGAUUCAGUUUGAAUAAUGGGUCUAAAUUUUUUCCAAGCUUGGCUUGAAUAAAAAUAAUAAAACCCGUUUCCAACUCGACCUGCCCGUAUUAAUUUUUUAUAAUAUUAUUUUUAUAUAAAAUAAAUUUAAAAACUAUAAUACAUUAAAAGCACUAAAAAUAUUGAAAUAAAUGUUUCCCAACAAAUUAAAAAUAAAUUUAAAAAAUAUUUAUAUUUAAAUAACACUAAAAUAUGUGUAAUUUAACAAAUAAAUGUUUCUAAAAUAAUAAUAAAAUUAAUAAUAAAAUAAUGAUUACAUAAUAUUUAAACAAUAACAACAAUAAAAUAACAAAAUGGUAGCAAAACAACAAAAAAAGAGAACAAUAAUUUUUAUUUUUCUACAAAUUCGAAUAAGAUCAUGUCAAAUAAAACUUUAUUAAGACUCGAUUCGUGUAAAAAUCGAACUUUAUUUCUUACCAAUAACUAUUUUCGAGCUUAUAUUAUUCUCAAAAUCUUCUUCUCGAGCUAUGGGGGUAACGAGGUAUAUUAAAGAAAGAAAAAAGGAAAAGAAAGAAGUGGUAAGAAAAAGAGAAAUGGAAAAGUGCAAAUGAAGUGAGAUGUCCAAUAAUAACAACCAGUAAUUUGACGCCACGUGCUCAUACAAGGUGUUGGUCGUAGUUGGUUGAUUUCAAGUUAAGGGUAAAAAGAAAAUAAAAAAGGGGUAGACCAAUUCCCUCCAUACAGAGUAGCGCUUCUACCGGUCAUCCUUCUCUGAUAUUAACCUCACAUUCUCCCACCCGCUAGGUCUCACCACCACUAUUUUUUUACCUUGAUAAAAUCCAAAAGGAGUCUUUCUCGUCCACCACAUAAUCGGACUAAAGAAUUUAACUUUUUCCUUCUUUAUCUGUUAUAUUAAUUAAAUUUUAUUUUUUCUAGACAAAGAGAUAAUUUCCUUUGGAUUUGGAAGAAGGGGGAAAUUUACAAAGUAAAAAAUAACAAGGCAACAAAGAGAUGACAAGCAUGGACGAGUUGAUGGGUCUGUUGAGGAUUCACGUCAAACGGGGCAUAAACCUUGCUGUUCGUGAUGUCCGUACCAGCGACCCUUACGUUGUUGUUCGGAUGGGCACGCAGGUUUUUCUUUCACCUCAAACAAAAAAUUGAUAUAUAAAUUAUCCACUUAUUUUAUCGUAAGUUUCAUAUUUUUUCUUUUUCAUUUUUAAAACAAUUGUUUGGUAAGUAAUAUUAAAUUUUCAAUUAAUGUACCAAAUAAUUACUUUUAAAAUAUGUUUUUAUGUAAUUAUGAAAAAAAAUACAAAAUUUGGGUUUAUUUAUCAAAAAAAUUGGAAAAAGAAAGUAACCAUUUCAUUUUCCUAGUAUAUAUGUUAAUCAGGGUUCUAAUUUUAUAUUUGUUGCAGAGGUUGAAGACUAAAGUAAUAAAUAAGGAUGUUAAUCCUGUAUGGAAUGAAGAUUUAACUCUUCCCAUUACAGAUCCUGGGGAGCCAAUCAAGCUCGUAAGUCCACCAAUGCAUAAUCAUCAUGCUUCUUACCUAUUAUAUCUCAUCUAAAUGUGACAUCUGGUGGUUUUGAAUGCAGACAGUGUUUGACUAUGACACAUUUAGCAUGGAUGACGAAAUGGGAGAUGCAGAGUUUGACAUACAGGCAUUCGUACAGGCAUUGAGAAUGGAUUAUGCAGACUUCCCAGAUGGAACCAUAUUAGCCAAAGUGCAACCAUGUAGGAAAAACUGCUUGGCUGAAGAGAGCGUUGUUGUAUUGAAGGAAGGGAAGGUACUCCAAGACCUUUGCCUCAGAUUGAGAAAUGUGGAGUGUGGUGAGGUGGAACUUCAACUCGAGUGGAUUGAAGUUCCUGGCUGUAAAGGUGUCUCAGCAACACCAACACCAACUGCAUAAAUUAUUGCUCUUUCACUCUCUGCUAGUUAUUACAAUGAUCACGACCUUCAUUGGUCUAUUUUAUAAGUUGUUUUAGCAGUUGUAUUACUAGUCAAAAUUCUGUCCGAACUGUGGCUUUUAUAUAGGAUUGAACAUGUCUUAGCUUAUCCUGCCCUGCCAUUCAUUUUGGAUGCCAAAUAAAGUAUUUACAAUCUAUUUUUGUUUUUUGCCAGAAUCUAUCUCUGGCAAAAUGUUCUUCUAUACACAUAUCUUGUAUUUUUCUGUGAUGAUUCUAUAUAAUACUUCCAUUCAUUUGAAAGCUGUGUGCUAUUCGGGGCUGCAACUCAUCAGCAUGCUAUUAAUUCCAUCAAUGUCUACGAGGAUCAAAAGUUGGAAUUCUUUUAUUUUUGUUCCACACAAGUUGGAAAUUGAGAAGCCAUGACAAUGUAGCAGCUUCUACACCUACAUUAACCCAUUCAACCACUAAAUGCGUCAUACCUUGAUUAUUUCUCUUAAGCCGUAAUUCACUCUGUGUUGCUUGAAUUAUACCUUGAUUAUAGUGUCAAGGGUGACCUUAGCCCCGCACAAAAUAGUAAAAUUACAAUUUAUUCCCUCAAUUUUAACCUCUUAAAAAUUCUAAAAUAAUAAAUUAAUAAACUUAUGAAAUUAUGAAAUUAUACUUUUGACUCUUUAAAAAAUUUAAAAUCAAUUUUGACUUCCUAAAAUAAAUUUCUAGCUUUAUCUUUACAUCUUCUCUUUCUUGUCACCUUCCAUCGUCACCCUCGGCCUCUUCCCAUAGACCCCAAAAGUGGUACUAGUGAACUCCUUUAUCCUUCUAUUUAGCAAUUGAACAAAUGAAUUUUGUAAAUAUAUAUAUAUAUAUAAAAGCAAUGAACAAACUAUAUCUUCUCUUUUGGUUUGGAUGAGUUGAGCUUAUUCAAGGUGAUUAACACGUUCCACGUUUAGUUUAAUUAGUAGAAGGUCAAUUAUGGUUUAGGAAUAGUACUUGGAAAGCUUAUAUAAAUUGAGAGAUUAAAAUUAUUAGUGAAUUUAGAUUAAUAAUUCUACGUCUAUAGAGCAUUAUUUAGAAAAUGAAUUUCUUAAACAAUUUUUAGUACAACAAAUAAUUUAUGCUUAAUUUAUCUCAACUCACACAAUGCUAAUUAUAGUCUAAAUAUUAUACACAAUUAUUUAUAUUCACUGUCUUUAAACACUCUUAUUUAUGAAGGCAAUAAUCACACAAAUAAAUAAAUAAAACAACAGAGAAAAUAUCGCAAUAAAUAUCUUCAAAGGUGGUGGAUGGCUCUUUUAUAUAGACAAGGAAGUUAGCAUUUAAACUUCAUGUUUUAUCCUUUUAUCAGCUUUGGAAUUUGAAAUCAAAUAUUCCAAGUUUAAAAAUCAACUUCACUUAAAAACUUUGUAUUUAUCCUUUGUCCUUACUAAAAUGCAUUUAAAAAAAUUAUUUUAUGGAUCUUUCUCAUCACAUUAUUUAUAAUUUUUUUUAAUUAUUUAAUAAUAUUUCAAACACUUUUUUUCAUGUUAUUAAUAUAUAAUUUUAGUAUUUUUUUACUUUAAAUUUCAAAUUCUAAAUCAUAAAUUCUAAACUUAAGUUUUAAGAUUCAUGAUUUUUGAGCUCGAGGUUUGAGAUUCAAGAUAAAAAAUUAUCAAAAUCAUAUGUCAAUAGCAUAAAAAUUUUAUUAAAAUAUUUUAAAUAAUUAAAAAAAUCAUAAAUAAUAUGAUAGGAAGGAUUUAUAAAAUAAUUUCUUCAUACUUUUCCCAUCAUCCUAAAUAUAUUUAGAGAAACUUCCCUUUAAACAUGGAUUCUUUGAAUGACUUACCAAAAUCCUUUUUUUCAUAGUAAUACUGCAUUUGCUGCUUAUUUUCGAAAUAAAAAUAAAUAGUGUAUUGUCAUCUUAACACAAUGUUCAUUGACUGUAGUAUAGCAUUUCUAAAUAAAUAUUGCAACAUUUAAGAUUACAAAGUUAUAAAUUACAGUGCUCACUAAAUAAUAACUAUUAAAUUUAUUAAGUUAAGUUUUACUAUUUCUAAGAUUUGAUGCAAAAAAAUAUAUUAUCAUAUGUAUAAUGUCAUGUCAAUUUGUUCUUUCCACAUAUUAUUCACUAAAAAUUCAGUUAAUGGAUUAGUGUCUAUCAUUUGCAUCAAGGAUGAAAUUUCAAAAUUCAAAAAAUAUAGGAACUUAGAAUGACCCAAUUAGAGAAUAUAAACUAAAUCUACAGUAAAUGAUAAGUAAUUAAAUUUAAACAAAUAGAUUUAACUGCUAUUGUUCGGGUCAAGACAAAAAAUUCAAAAAGUACAAAUACUAAAAAAUUGAUCAAAUUAAAAUAUAAAGAUUAAAUUCACAAUUUUCAUAAGGUACAGGGACUAAUAUCAUAGUUUAAUCUUUUAAGCCUAAAGGCUAUUUUAUAAACCUUGCAUAAACAUAUCCACGUGUACGUACUUAAUUUUAUAUUUAAUGUAAAUGGAACCUUUUUUUCAUGUAUAGAAACUACUCAGAAAAGAUUAGAAAUAGUUUAAUUAAUUAAAACAAGGAAGAGUGAAAGGCAUUGCAGUGCGUGAUGGUUGGAGUGAGUGAAUUUGUUCCCUUUGCUUCAACUCUUUCACUCUGAACUUCCAAAACGCAUGCUUCACCUUUACUCACUUUUAGGACCAAUCCAUUUGUCUCUCAAUUUUUAUUCAAAUCCACGCAACCAAUCAUUCCUGGCCGUACCACCAUUUUUUUUCCUAAAUUAAUGUUGAGUAAUUUUGAUUAAAAAUAAUCCAUUAAGAUUAUUCAAUUAUUAUUUUAAUUUUUUUAUUUUACACAAUACUUUCAUUAAAUUCAAGAAAAAAAAUUUAAUGGCAUAUUUUUAAUCAGAAAUUUGAAUGGUAUUUUUACUAAAAGUGUUUCCUGUCAUUCUCGUUUAUAUUUGGUGCCUAAUUUAAUUGAGGUGUUUGCACUUCUUGAAGUUUUUUAUUGGUUGCAAGCUAUUAAUAUAAGUAACAUCAUAGUUGGAUCUUAUUGUCUUUAGGUAAUUAUUGCGAUUACUAAGAGUAAAAAAGAUUUAUCGGAUUUUGGUUUGUUGAUUAUGGAUUGUUGAGCUAUUGCUUCUCAACUCCAUAAUUUGUCCUAAGGCAGCUCAUAGUCUUGCUAAGAUAGCCUUAUCUUGUGUGGAUCACAUUGAGUGUAAUAGUUUUCCCUCGUUCCUUAAUCUUAUUUUCAUUUGAUAAUGCUUUGAAUUCUAGUGUUGUUGUUAGUAGAGGAUGAUGGGACAGGGUGUACAAAAUAAGCAUGUUGGCUUAGGUUUAGUUUUUGUGCUCUUCUUUUGCUUGUUUACAAAGUUUAUUUCUCAAAAAAAAAAAAAAUAGAAACAUGAAAUUAAUGAAUGAUAACUUUUAAAUUGCUUAAUAUAUAAACUGGCCCCUGAAUUUAGUAAUUUCUCUUAAGUUAGCCCUUAGACUUUUCUUUGGAACACAUUAGUUCUAAAGGUUGGCUUCCAUUACAUAAAUUGGUUCUUAUGGCUAAUACCGUUAAUUUUUGAACAAUUGGGUGAUGUGGCCAAACUAGAAUGUGACACGUGAGCAAACAAAGAAACAACAUAUAUUUUCCUCUUUAAUUAUUCUAAAAAUAGUAAAAAAGCUUAAAAAUUCAAAAAAAAAGAGAGAGAAAAGCUAAAUAAUUUUUUUAGAAAACAUAAGAAAAUAUAGAUAAAUUCAAAAAUUCAAAAAAAAUCAAUAAAACAUUUUGUAAAAAAUCAAUAAAUUUUUUUAAAAAUUAUUAGAAUUUUAUAAAAUUACAAAAAAUUAAAAAAUAUAUUUUAGAAUUCAAAAAAUAAAAUUUGAUUGGUGAAAGCCCGAUCAUCAUGGGCUAAAGCAUGGUCAACAUUGAUCAGUGUUAGGUCAACACUCGGUCUUUUUUGUAUUUACUUUUUUCAAUUAUUUGUAGCUUUUUGAAAUUUAAACUAUUUUUUGAUUUUUUUUACAUUUUAUAUUUUUUUAAUUUUCUAAAAUUUUAAAAAAAUUAUGUUUUGAAAUUUUCAAAAUAUUUAUGAUUUUUUAAAAUUUUAACUAUUUUUUUAUUUUUAAUUCUAAAUUCAAUUUUUUGGUUUUUUUUAUAAUUUAUAUAUUUCUUAUAUUUUUAAAAAAUUGUUUAUUUUUUAAUUUAUAUAUAUUUCAAUUUUAAGCUUUUUUAUUUUUUUAAAUAAUUAAAGAGGAUAACACAUGUUACCUUGUUUGUUCACGUCUCACCUCUGUGUUUGGUCACGCCAUUCAAUUAUUCAAAAACUAACAAUGUUAAUCAUAGGAAUCAAUUUGUGCAAUGGAUGUCAAUCUUAAGGACCAAUGUGAUCCAGAAAAAAUAUUAAGGGUCAAUUAAAGAAAAGUUGCCAAAUUUAAGGUAGAAUCUAUUAGGGGCGAAUUUAGAAGGGCUGGCAAGGCCCCGGCCUCCCUAAAAUGAAAAUUUUUGACCCUUUAAAAUUUAUAAAAUUUUAAAUUAAUAAAUGUAAAAUUACACUUUACCUCUUUUAAGAAUGAUAAUUUUUUGAUUUAAUCAUUUAAGAAUUACAUUUUUACUAUAAAAAAAUUACAAUUUAAUUUUGGCCCUUAAACAAAUUUUCUGAUUACGUCCCUAUAUCUAUAUAAAGUGGUUAAUAAAUUAAAAUAGUCAGCUUUAUUGAGUGGGGAACAUCCCCAAAUUUCUACUUGGAGGUCAUCUCCACCUCUUUGUAUUGAUCAUUGGAUAGAUUGAAGCAUAAAACAAUUAAGUUAUAUCAUGGUUCUUUUUUAAUUAUAUUCCAAAAUUUGAAAUUAUAUGAGAUCUAAAAGUAAUUUAACAAUAGAUUGAAGCAUGUUGGAUGAGAUAUGAUGUCCAAAAUUGAAAUCCAUCAUUACUAUCUUGCAGCGAAAACUGAAAAUUAUAAAAAGUAGGAUGGUAAGAAACAAUGAAAAGGCAAGAAUUCUAACCAUGAUAUCCUAUUCGCAAAUUAUGAUGAUUUAUUGCUUCUUGUGUAUGUUUUUUACUUGCUUAGUUUACUAUGUACAAAGUUUUGACCUACAACUACGCCUCCUUCUUCUGUAAAACAAAGAUUAGAAAACCCAUUUUCAGUACUUUUUUUCUAUUCGAGAUCGGUGAAUAUGGUGAAAAUAGUUGAGGGUUAUAAAAACUACACAUAUAAAAAUAUAGUGGAUGGGAAUAAUUGGGAUAAUUGUAGGGAUAUGAAGAUAGGCUGCUAGUAUGGGAUAUAAUAAGGCACAAAACAAGUUGGGUAAAGGUGAAGUGUAUGUUGAUGGGGAUUUUAAUCAUAAUAGUGAAGGGUGAAAAAAAGGAGGGGUCUAACAUCACCCUAGCAGAAAUAGAAAUAUAUUGAGUUUUGAAUCAUGUAUGUAGAAAUUUGGGUUCUAUUUUUAAAGUAAUAAAAUGGGUUUAUAUUUUUUCAGGAAAGUUAUUGUUCAUCUGAUACAAUUGCUAAAGAUUAUAAGUUGUUAAAUUUAUAAGGAAUAAAAUAUGACCAGAAUUGAUUACGAAAGUGAACACUUUUACUGUGAAAAAUAAAAUAAAAUAAAUAAAAUAAAAUAAAGAACACACAAAUUUUACGUGAAAAUUCUUUCGGGAAAAAAACUACGGGCAGAGGAGAAGAAAAUUCACUAUGUCGAAAAAUUUGAAUAUAAUACAAGAGGAAUAGACUAUGUCUAUUUAUAGGCUUGCAAAGCCAUAUUCUAGUAGAAUUUAAACACCUUAUUCUAAUCGAUAUAAAAUAUAUGGAGUUUAAUAAAGUUUAAAAACCUUAUUCUAAAAUAAAAUAAAAGAAGUUUAGUUCUAUAUGGAUUUUACUUUUAUUUUAUUUUCCAUCGUAUUUUAUUUAAAUAAGAAUUUGGGUCACUUAAUUCUAACAAUCUCCACCUUCACACAAAUUCUCAAUGAACAAGUUCUUCAUCACGAACUUUCAAUAAACAAGUUUUCCACCUCUUCCAUAAAAUCCCUUAAGGGUUUAACUUCAACAAUGAACACCAACCAAGUCUAAGCAAUGCUCAAACUUGGUUAUAGGAAGUGACUUAGUCAUUAUAUCUGCAGGAUUUUCAUAAGUACUAAUUUUGUUCACAACAAUAUCACCACGAGCAAUAAUAUCACGAUCAAAAUGAUACCGAAUAUCAAUGUGUUUUGUUCUCUCAUGAAACAUUUGAUCUUUUGUAAGAAAGAUGGCACUCUGACUGUCACAAAAUACUGUGAAGAUUUGAAGGUCUUCAUUGAGUUCACUAAAUAGUCCCUUCAACCAAAUAGCUUCUUUACAAGCCUCAGUAAUCGCCAUGUACUCAGCUUCAGUGGUAGACAAAGCGACUGUAGUUUGCAAAGUGACUUUCCAACUAAUUGCACAACCUUUGAUUGUAAAGACGUAACCUGUUAGAGAUCUUCUUCUAUCAGGGUCUCCAGUAAAAUCAGCAUCAACAUACCCUAUAACUCCAUCUUUAGUUCUUCCAAACUGUAAGCAAACAUCAGUAGUGCCUCGUAAGUAUCUUAAAAUCCACUGAACUGCUUUCUAAUGUUCUUUACCGAGAUUUGCCAUAUAUCUGCUAACUGCACUGACUGCAUAUGAUAAAUCUGGACGUGAACAAACCAUAACCAUAGCAUACAUGAGAGAUCCCACUGCACUAGAGUAUGGAACAUGUGACAUGUACUCAAUCUCAUCAUUUGAUUGAGGAGACAAGGCCAAUGAAAGUCUGAAAUGUGCUGCUAAAGGAGUACUAACAGGCUUAGCACACUGCAUAUUGAACCUACAAAGAACUUUCUCAAUGUACCCCUUCUGACUUAGGUACAAUUUACUUGCUUUUCUAUCUUUGAGAAUCUCCAUACCAAGUAUCUUCUUUGCUGGUCCUAAAUCUUUCAUCUCAAAUUCUUCACUUAGUUGGGCUUUAACCUUUCUUAUCUCUCCUUUAUCUUUUGCUGCUAUCAACAUGUCAUCAACAUAAAGAAGUAAAUACAUAAAAGAACCAUCACUGUUUUUCUUAAAGUAAACACAACUGUCUAAACUACUUCUUUUGAAAUCAUAAGAGGUCAUAAAGGAAUCAAACCUCUUGUACCACUGUCUUGGUGACUGUUUCAAACCGUAAAGGGACUUUCUCAGCAAGCAAACAUAGUCCUCUUUUUCUGAGACUAUAAAACCCUCUGAUUGUUGCAUAUAAAUAUCUUCCUCAAGUUCUCAAUGCAGAAAUGCAGUUUUUACAUCUAACUCCUCAAGCUCCAAAUCAUGCAUAGCCACAAUACCAAGCAAAGCUCGAAUCGAACUAUACUUAACAACUGGAGAGAACACAUCUGUGAAGUCCACUCCUGGAAUUUGACUGUAACCCUUUGCAACAAGCCUUGCUUUAUAUCUGGGUUCUUCAACUACUAGAGUCCCUUCUUUCUUUUUAAACACCCAUUUACAACGAACAACCUUUUUACCUUUAGGAAGUUUCACAAGGUCCCAUGUUCUGUUUUUGUGGAGUGAUUCCAUCUUUUCUUGCAUAGCAAACAUCCACUUUUCUGAGUCUUCACAGCUAACCGCCUCAGAAUAAUUAGAUGGCUCUUGAUUCGCAUCUAUAUCUUCAGCCACAUUUAAAGCAUAAGCAACUAGAUCAACCUCGGCAUACUUCUUUGGAGGUUUAAUUUCUCUUCUAGUUCUGUUUUUGGCGAUAGAGUAUUGUGGUGAAGAAGCAACUCUAUUCUCAAUUUUUGUUCUGGCUUGAGGAGUUGACUCUGUAUUAAUCUGAUGCUCCACCUGCUUUUGAUUUUCUUUAUUGGAAGAGUCUUUAAGAGAUAAGUUAGGUAGCAUAGCAAUUUCAUAAAAAAACAACAUCUCUGCUAAUCACAACUUUUCUAUUUUCAAGACACCAUAACUUAUACCCUUUUACACCAGCUUUAUAACCAAGAAAAAUGCAUUUAAUAGAUCUCGAUUCCAAUUUUCCAUUAUCAACAUGAGCAUACACAGGACACCCAAAAAUCUUUAAAUCAGAAUAAUUAGCAGGAUUACCAGACCAUACCUCUUGUGGAGUUUUUUUCUCAAUGGCAACGGGUGGAGAUCGGUUGAUCAAAAAACAUGCAGUAGAGGCCGCUUCUGCCCAAAAUGCCUUCGGUAAGUUGGCAUUUGACAACAUACAUCGAACCUUCUCCAUGAUCGUUCUGCAAUGUCGUUUUGCUGUGGAGUAUGACGAACUGUCAAGUGUCUCAUGAUCCCUUCUAACUUGCACAAUCUAUUAAACUCAUCAGAACAAAACUCUAAGCCAUUGUCUGUGCGGAGGUAUUUUAUCUGUUUUCCCUUUUGUUUUUCAAUUAUAAUUUUCCAAGACUUAAAUGCGGAAAACACAUCGCUUUUCUGCUUCAGGAAAAACGCCCAAACUUUUCUAGAAAAAUCAUCAAUAAAGGUUAGCAUAUAAUUAGCUCCACCUUUCAAAGGCACUCUUGAUGGCCCCCACAGAUCAGAAUGAAUAUACUCCAACGUUCUCUUCGUGUUAUGGAUUCCUCUAGUGAAUCGAACUCUCUUUUGCUUCCCAAAAAUACAGUGCUCACAGAAAUUCAGUUUGCAAAUUCCUUGCCCAUUAAGAAGUCCUCUUUUUUGCUUAAUUCUGGCAUGCCAUUCUCACUCAUAUGCCCUAGGUGCAUAUGACAAAGUUUAGUAAUAUCAUCAUCUGACAAGGAAGAGGAAGCGACAGCUGCAUCACCAGUAACAGUAGAACCCUGUAAAACAUAUAACUUGGCAAUCUUUCUCUGCCCUUUCAUCACAACAAGGGACCCUUUGGAAAUCUUUAAAACCCCACUUUCAGCUGUGUAUCUGUACCUUUUUGAAUCAAGAGUACUCAACGAAAUUAAAUUUCUUUUCAAUUCUGGAACAUGCCCCACGUCACUAAGUGUUCUGACAACUCCAUCAAACAUCUUAACUUUAAUUGUUCCAACACCUGCGAUUUUACAUGAAGCAUUAUUUCCCAUCAAAACAACACGUUCAGAUACUGUUUCGUAAGUUGUAAACCAAUCCCUAUUGGGACUCAUGGGGAAGGUGCAGCCUGAAUCAAGUAUCCACUCCUCGCUUACUUUAGAAUCAUUGACCGAAGCGACUAGAAGUUCACCAUCGCUGUAGUCUUCUAAAACAUCAGCUUCACCGGAAUUUUCUGGUUGUUUUCCCUUUUGAUUCGUAGCCUCCCUUUUAAUCUUAUUUUGUAGCUUAUAGCACUCAGAUUUAACGUGCCCUUUCUUCUUGCAGAAGUUGCAAGUUUUACCUCUGUUUGAAGACUUCGAUCUACCCUUAGAUUUACCACGAGGAUUCCGUUCCUGUGUCCUACCACGAUCAUCUUUAGCAUUCCGAUAUUGUCUCCCACGAACAAUGAGACCCUUUCCCUGAUAGUUGGGUUUAACCACAAGAUGCUUCAUCUUAUCAUACGAGGUUAAAGAAUCAUAAACCUCAUCAACUGUGAGAGACUCGCAGCUAUAUAAAAUCGUGUCUCUAAAGGUUGAAUAAGACUGGGGCAACGAACAAAGUAUUAACCCUAGAUCUUCUUUAUCAUACUCAACCUCCAUGGCCUCCAAGUUUGAGAUAAUUUCUUUAAACACUGUUAAGUGUUCGUGUACAGACGCACCUUCCUCCAAACAAUGAGCAUAAAGACGCUGCUUCAUAUGCAACUUGCUUGUUAGAGUUUUCGACAUACAUAUUUGUUCUAGCCUAUUCCAUAAUGCAGCGGCAGUUUUCUCUUUCAUCACAUCCUGCAAAUUCCGUUGGACAAAUGCAGAUGUAAUUGUGUUAAUGCCUUUCGAUCCUUACGCUUCUUCUCUUCAUCUGUUAAUGUCGAAGGCAUCUUAUCUACCCUAGCAGGGCAUCCUCCAGAUCCAUCUGUGCAAGAACUGCUUGCAUCUUAAUUUGCCACAACGCAAAUCUGGUGUUGCGAUCCAACAACGGAAUUUUAUACUUCAAAUACGUCAUUACCGUGAUCAAGAUGAAUAACCCGGAAGCUCUAAUACCAAUUUGUAAAAAAAUAAAAUAAAAUAAAUAAAAUAAAGAACACACAAAUUUUACGUGGAAACCCUUUCGGGAAAAAAACCACAGGCAGAGGAGAAGAAAAUUCACUAUGUCGAAAAAUUUGAAUCUAAUACAAGAGGAAUAGAUUAUGUCUAUUUAUGGCUUGCAAAGCCAUAUUCUAGUAGAAUUUAAACACCUUAUUCUAAUCGAUAUAAAAUAGAUGGAGUUUAAUAAGGUUUAAAAACCUUAUUCUAAAAUAAAAUAAAAGAAGUUUAGUUCUAUAUGGAUUUUACUUUUAUUUUAUUUUCCAUCGUAUUUUAUUUAAAUAAGAAUUUGGGUCACUUAAUUCUAACAUUUACAAAAAUUGCGAAAAGCACAAUGUAAAUAGGGGAUAACAAAUUUAUUUAUACAGUUUGGUUUCCCUAUGUCUACAGAGCCUAACUCAGUGAAAAGAAUCCACUAUCCUUAAAUCAAAUACAACCGGUAUUCUAAUUCUAACACACCCUAGUGAAGAAUCCACACUCUUGUAUCUCAAAAUUGAUGAGAUUGUAAUUGCAAAAUCCUUGACAUUUAUAAUUUAAAUUUGACAAUUAGAAUUUUAGUUUUGGUUUUUCUUAAGAAAAGUUAAUUUUUCCCAUUGUAGAGCCUCGAUUUUUUAAAAUAACUCAUUCUAUUAAUAUUUAAGGGUUCGAGAAUAAUGAAAAAAAAUCUAUUUAAAUGGAAGUGAGAAAGAUUUAAACGUUAGAUUCAGAAAUCGACAAAUCUUCUUAAUUCAAAUACACAAAUACUAAAUUUGAUAAUUUUUAUUAAUAUAAUUAUCACAAUAAAAAUACAAUUUUAUGAAAAAAAAUUCAAAUUUUUGUUCUGCAACAAAACUAUUCUUCAUAAAUAAUUUUAAUUUUUCCGACAGAUGGCAAUUACAAUGUUCUAAUUUAUAUUAAAUUUCACAUACAUUAGUGAAUGCAUCAUUAUAAAGCCAUGUAGAUGGUCAAAGAAAUAUGAAUAAUUUCAUGGUUUGAAUAAAAAAAUCAAACAAAGUUUUUAGAAAAAAAUUAAAUGAUAAGAUAUGUAAUUAAAUUUCUAAUUUUCUAAUUUAUUAUUUUAUUUUUAAUUUAUAAUGUCACAUAAUAUAUCAUGGUAUGAUGUCAUAUGACAUUUAGAGGUAUUCAUGAAUUGAAUUGAGUCGGAUUCACACUAGAUUUAAUAUUAUUACACUUUAUAUUUGUUUAAACCCAAGUCAAUCCAAAAUAUGAACCUAAAAAUUUACCAAAGUCUACCCAUAUUUAUAAAGUGAUUAAUCCAAGUCAAUUUUAAGUCCACUCGUAUUAUUUUUUAUUUAAUAUUUUAGAUGGUUUUCAUUUAUUAAAAUUUUAAGUUUAGACAACUUAACAUAAAUUUUAAUGUUUACAUAAUUUGUGUAUAAUAUAUUUAAUUUCAUGUGAUAUAAAUUACAUAAUAUAUAAAUAAAAUAUAUUACAAAAGUAUAAAGCAGGUCAGGCCAAACUCGACUUUUGAAUGUCAAAGUCUAAACCCAAUUUAUAUUUUAAACGAAUUUAAUUUUUUAUCCAAACAUACAUUUCGAGUCUUAUACGUUUAUUCAAAUCUUUUCAUACUUCAAAGAAAUGAUUGAGACUGUUGAGCUUGAAUAAAUAAUUUAAUUCAUAAACAAAUUUAGUGGCAUAUGAGUAAUGAUACGACACCGAAUAUGAAUAUCAAGUAGCUAUUAAUCUCUAAUGGUUGGAUAACAAUUUUGAUAUUUUUGAGUUGUGAAUCAAUAAUAUUAAAAAAAACUCAUAUAAUUAAGUAAAUAUCUACUUAAUUUCUCUCUUUUUUUUUUAAGGCAUCUAGAAGGCAUGAGCAGAAAAAAGCGAAUCCAAGAAGAAAGAGGAAAGGAUAAGGGCCUCUUUUAAUGUAUGCAAAAGUCUAGAAAGUGUAACACAAACAAGUGCUUGGGGACACACACCGUCACAAGCCCCCUCCCCCACCGCCAACCAAAAUACUCUUUCUUCUCAUCUUACCAUUAGUCCAUUGAAUAUAGAGCCACGAAUAUCAAGAACUUUCACAUCCCAUUGGCAACUUCUAUCCAUUUUUAAACAGCAAAAAAUCCCAUCCAAAUCAAUUCAAUUAUUCUUUAUAGAUUUUAAUUUUAAACUCAACAAGCUAAUAAUCAAAGUUCUCGUAAAAUUGAACUUCAAUCCCAUUUUUUAAUCAUAUUUCCAAACCAAAAGGCAAGCAAACAAACCCUGAAUUUUUUUAAAAGAAAAGUAAUAAACAAAGAAGCAAAACCCUGUGCUUUGGGGACUGCAAGUGCAAGCUUGGUCGCAACUCUCAAAGCUGCAUAGUGAAAAUUAAAAAUUCCUCUAUUCCCUCUGCUUAUUACCACCCACUUUCCCCAAAACCCAAAAACACAUGCGCUCCCAUUUCCUUUACUUUCCCCCCUCAUCAUCACUUCCACCAACGCUAUCUUCCUCCUCCUCCUCCUUCUUCUUCUCUUCUUCUUCGCUUCUCAAUCAGGUUUCAACUUGUAUUUGUUCUUUUUUCUAAACUUGGAGCUGGUUUUCUUGAUUUGGGUAAUUCAGUCGGGGUAAUAGCUUGCCAAAGAUGAUCACUUUAACUGACUUCUACCAUGUAAUGACUGCAAUGGUGCCACUUUACGUGGCCAUGAUUUUAGCUUACGGCUCAGUGAAAUGGUGGAAGAUCUUCUCUCCUGGUCAGUGUUCGGGGAUUAAUCGCUUUGUUGCUCUCUUUGCCGUCCCUCUCCUCUCUUUCCACUUCAUCGCCUCUAACGACCCUUACGCUAUGAACUUUCGUUUCAUAGCAGCUGAUACCCUCCAAAAAGUUAUGGUUCUUGGAAUACUGGCAGUUUGGUCCAAGGUGAGCAAAAGGGGUUGCUUGGAAUGGACCAUCACCCUAUUUUCACUCUCUACUCUUCCCAACACUUUGGUGAUGGGCAUCCCUUUGCUGAAAGGAAUGUACGGGGAGUUUUCAGGAAGCUUAAUGGUGCAGAUAGUUGUCCUUCAAUGCAUUAUUUGGUACACUUUGAUGCUUUUCAUGUUUGAAUAUAGAGGUGCCAAAAUGCUGAUAUCUGAGCAAUUCCCCGACACUGCUGGCUCUAUUGUUUCAAUCCAUGUAGACUCAGAUAUCAUGUCACUCGAUGGUCGGCAACCUUUAGAAACUGAAGCUGAGAUCAAAGAAGAUGGUAAGCUCCAUGUUACUGUCAGGAAAUCCAAUGCCUCAAGAUCAGAUAUUUUCUCAAGAAGGUCCCAGGGUUUAUCUUCAACAACUCCACGCCCUUCCAAUCUGACCAAUGCUGAGAUCUACUCGUUGCAAUCAUCAAGAAACCCAACACCAAGAGGCUCAAGCUUUAAUCACACUGAUUUCUACUCUAUGAUGGCUGGGGGACGCAACUCCAAUUUCGGUGCUGCAGAUGUUUACGGUUUGUCUGCCUCUCGAGGACCAACUCCCAGACCAUCCAAUUAUGAGGACGAUGGUACAGGCAUGGGUAAACCAAGGUUCCAUUACCACGCACAAGGUGGCGCAGGUGCAGCCCAUUAUCCGGCUCCUAAUCCGGGUAUGUUCUCUCCCAAUGGGUCUAAAGCUAAUACAAAGAAGCCUAACGAUCAGGCUCCGCAAAAGGCUGAAGAUGGUGGCAGGGAUCUUCAUAUGUUUGUUUGGAGUUCAAGUGCUUCUCCUGUAUCCGACGUCUUUGGUGGUGGUGGUGGCCAUGAAUAUGGAGCAAACGAGCAGAAAGAGGUUAGAGUGGCUGUCUCCCCAGGGAAAGGUAGCUUUUAAGCACAUUUUAAUUUGUCUACUUCAGUCUGCAUAUAUGAAUUUGUUUUGUUUCCCCAUUUAGAUUAAUGAUUCGAACAUGUGAUGCUGCUUGUGUUUCGUUUCGGCGCAGCGGAAGGACAUAGAGAAAAUAACGAGGAGUACAUGGAGAGAGAGGAUUUCAGCUUUGGGAACCGAGGAUUGGAACGAGAAAUGACCAACAACCACGAAGGUGACAAAGUGGGGGAUGGCAAGCCCAAAACUAUGCCUCCUGCAAGUGUCAUCACAAGGCUGAUACUGAUCAUGGUUUGGAGAAAGCUUAUCAGAAAUCCCAACACUUAUUCAAGCUUAAUAGGACUCACUUGGUCUCUAAUCUCAUUCAGGUAAAAAUACAAAUACAAAUCAUUGUUUUUGGCAUCUGGUGGCUUUUCUUAUAGCUUGUUGCUUGGUUUGUUUUAGGUGGAAUGUACAAAUGCCUGCCAUAAUAGCCAAGUCCAUUUCCAUACUGUCAGAUGCAGGGCUUGGCAUGGCCAUGUUCAGUCUUGGUCAGUUCAUUUCACCUUUUUCUUUUUCCCCUGUACUUGCAAACAAAUACAAUCUCUCUCAAGGAAAAUUCUCCCCUACUUUAUUAGUUAGUAGAGCAGAGCAAUAUAUUCAAAAGAAUAAAAAUUAAAAAAUAGAGAGUAAUGAAUGGCUUUAUCAUUAUUAAAUGUUGUAAAAAAGCAAGCAAAACAGCGUAAGCAAAGUAAGGGAAACAGUAUAGUCAUGACGAUAAUAAGUUGGCUAUAGAUUUCCAUCUGUAUAAAAUCUUGAGUGUUUUGAAGAAAUAAAUUUGAUAUGAUGCUGGGGGAUGGUGGGGGUUAUGAUGAAGGAUCCAAAAGAAGAAAUGUUGUCAGAGACAAGCCGGUUCGAAUUCGAAAUAUUUGUAAAGAGAGAUGAGGUUUGAGUUGGAGUAUGUCGGGGUAAUGUGGGAUGUGGGGGCAAAGGAAUAGACAUGGUUUUGAUGGAAUGGUGAUGACAGGUCUGUUCAUGGCAUUGCAACCGAGGAUCAUAGCAUGUGGAAAUUCCGUUGCAGCUUUUGCCAUGGGUGUGAGAUUCCUUGCAGGUCCAGCUGUGAUGGCAGCCGCUUCCAUAGCUGUCGGACUCCGUGGCGUUCUCUUACACGUUGCCAUUGUGCAGGUCACUUCCCUUUCUCUAUCUUUUGCUUCUUUACUGUCGUUUCCUCUCCCAUCUCUUUCUUCACCAACAUACCCUAUCUAACUUAACUAUUACAUAAUCUCCAAAACUCACUGCCACAGCUUUUCUUUCUAUUUUUAUAUUCUUAAAUUGUGCAAUCUUCAGAUUCAAUGAAACUGGGUACAAGUAGUCAGCAAACAUUCAUACAAAAUCUAACAUGUCUUAUUUAUUUUGCAUGUAUAACAGGCAGCUCUCCCACAAGGCAUUGUCCCCUUUGUCUUUGCCAAGGAAUACAACCUACACCCUGAUAUUCUCAGCACUGCGUGAGUCUUUACCCUCUUUCUCCUUUCUUUUUUCUAAUUUCCUAAUACUUUUGCUUGUUCUCUCAUGUUUUUUUUUUGUUGGAAAUGCAGUGUUAUUUUUGGAAUGCUAAUAGCCUUGCCCAUAACGCUUGUCUACUACAUAUUAUUGGGAUUAUGAAGGGGCCAUCUCUAACCUAAAUAUCAACAUUUUAAUUAAUUAAUUAAUUAAUUAAAUCCAAUCCAUGCCAUCAAAUUCAAACCCCGUUUCCAAAGCAAAUCCUUAAUCUUCCUUGUUUUUUUUUUUCCUAGUAAAAUUUGUAAAAUCUUAUUCUGUAGUCAAAAUAUGAGGAAAAUGAAAUGCUUAUUUUUCUAGUUUGUUAUAACUUUUGAGUUGUCUUUCGAUUCCAAUAAUUUAUGUUAGAUACGAUGGAUGGGCCAUACAGCUAUGUUUGGUGGCAUCAAUGUUCCCAGCUUUUGUUUUUGAAAUCUUAAUCACAAAUUAAAGUUGAUUGGGAUUUAAUUUUCUUUUACUGAAUUGUAGUUUGGAUGAUAUCAACUCAAAUUGGCAAAAUAUUUGUGCACACCUCAUCAUACAUACACCACCAAUCGAAUCCGUAUACUAAGUCUAAAACAUUAUUUUUAUAUUUCCAUCAUUUCAAAUUAAGAAAACAGUGUAAAUAGAUUAUUAGAAAUAUAAUUUUCAUUCUAAUAUUUCAAAUUCACAGGUUUGUUAAAAUAUUUUUGAAAUUCCACAAAUUCAUGUUCUCUGAGCAUUAAAGAAAAUGUCAACAGCAUGUGAAGAUUAUUUAGGUUAAAGCAUAUUUUAUAUUUACUGUUCAGGGUUUUAUUUUAUUUUAUUUCUUAGAGUAUACUUCGUUUGUAUUAUUGGAUAGAUUUUUUUUGGCACAGAUUCAGUAAUAUUUACAGAACAGUACAACUUGACGUUUUCAAAACUGAAAGCAAGUGUCGUUUAAAUUAAUUGAGGUCAAACUAUAACAAUAAUCACUUAACUUUGAUAAAAUAAUAAAAUAAUCAUUACACUUUAGAAAAAUAACAAAUCAGUUAUUAAUGUUAUCAAAAAAUGACAAAUCAAUUAUCUAUUAAUAUUUUUCGUUACAAACCUAACGGAACAAGUGACAUAAUUUAUUAAUUAGUUGAUGUGACUAGUUAGCUUACUACUUUGAACAUGAGGAGGGUCUUAAUUUUGUGGGGGAAAAGGGCCAGGUGGAUUGGGCAAAAAAAAAGAAAAAAAAAAGAAGAAGAACAAUGAGAAGAAGAAAAAGAUGUGACUACUCUUCCUUGUUGCCUUCCCGAAUGCGCCCUAACCAUUUCAUGACCCUACUCUUCCCUGUUAUGGUACCAAAAUUUAUACUAGACUUCAUCAUUUCAAUUUCAUCAGCAGUAACCAAAUCAAAAGUCAAAUUUGAAGAAUUGGGAUUCUUGUUCUCUUUGUUCUGUUGCAAAUCGGUCGGCAAAAAACCAAGGUCCACAUUCAAGAAAUUUGGUGAUUUCCCUUUAGAAAAUUCAACGACAGUAACAGAUUCAUUCACUUGUGAGUUGAGAAAAUUAGGUUUCCAUCUUUUAUGUACUAAAUUUUCCUUAGUUUUAUGAGAAAAUCCACAUGCAAAAGCAGCAGACGCAUCCCCUAUUUCCCCUAACCUAACAUUAGGCUGUCAUUGUCUUUUGGAAUUCAUGCUUAAAACCAACAUUUUACACCACACCCUAACUUCUUUUUAAUCAAACACAAAAAUCAGCACAAACAUGGGAACCAAAAAAUUUACAACAAACAAAUAAAACCCAAAUCAAACAUCAUUCUAAACAACCAUUAAAUCACCAUAAAACAAUGUAAAUUACAAGUGAACCUAGUAACAGGGGCGAAGGCAGAAAAUAUUUUUAGGGGAGUCGAAAUUAAAUUUUAAUUUUUACGAUAGUAGAAAUGCAAAUUCACCAUUUAAAUAGCUUAUAUAUUUAUAAUUUUUAAAUGAUUAAAUUAAAUUUUUAUCAUUUUUAGGGGGCCAAAGUACAAUUUUACCUUUACUAGUUUAAAAUUUAAAAAAAAUCAAAAGGCCUAAAUGGAAAAUUUUCCAGUUUAGGGGGCCAGGGCCCCUGCCAACCCCUUGGUUACGCCCUUUCCUAGUAAGAGAGUAACAGUGGCUGAAAAAUUUGAACUUUUGCAUGUUCCCAAAAUUGAAACAAUUGCUAAGAUGAUUCUUCUUCUAUUGUCUGUAGCCCAACUAGGGUUCUUAAAUUGGGGUUGUUUACACCAUGGAAUGACAUGUUAGCUUUCCGUUAUAGACAUAACGAAAAAUGGUGAAAAGUUUAGUGGCUGAAAAUUUUGAACUUUUGCAUGUUUCCAAAACUGAAACAAUUAUUAGUCUUCUUCUUCUUCUACUGUCCAACCCAACUAGGGUUCUUAAAUUGGGGUCAUUUACACCAUGGGAUGACAGGUCAGCUUUUUGUUACAAACGUAACGAAGAAUGGUGAAAAGUUCAUUGGCUAAUUUGUAACUUUUCAAAACUUAGUGACUCUUUUAUUAUUUUAACAAAAGUUUAGUAACUAUUGGUUUACUGUAUCCAUUAAUCAAAUAAAAGUGAAAUCAUGCUAGCUAUAUAUGCUCACGCGUUGCCUCAAUUUGCUUUAAAGCAAUGUGGAAAUUAUAGUAGAAUUCGUUUUUUUACGCAUCUAUGAUGAAAUCAGCGCAUAAUAACUUAUUUGACCUUUCACUUUUAUAUAAAAAAAUUUAGCUCUUUGUUUAAUUUUUCGUUUUUUUUAGUCUUUAAACUUAUAUUUUUUUACCAAAAUACUCAAAAAUGGAUGAAAAAUUUAACAUUUGUUAAUUUUGUUGAUGUGACAUACAUGUGGAUAUCACGUCAACAAUUAAUUAAUUUUUAAAAAUGUAAUGACCUAUAUUUCACGGGCACCGAAAAAGUGAGUUUAGGGCUUCCGUCUUAGGAAAAUGAGUUCGUAAAUAUUUAUAAAAAAAUAUUUACGAAGUUAGUUGUGAGUUGAAUUAGAUUUUAAUUAGGUGAAUUUAUUUUUAAUUAGAAGUAAUUAGUAGAAAGGAUUAAAUUGAAUAGAGCAUAAAAACUUAAUCAUAGAAUAGAGAAAGGAUAAAGGAUUAAAUUAGUAAUUAAACUAAAUUAGUGAAAUGUGUAAGCUAAAAAAUAAAUAAAUGUGUAUUUAAAUUAUUAGUACAAGUGUAUAUAAUAUAUAAAUUUACUUAUAAAUUAAGUAAAAGAUAUUUACUUAUUAUUAUUAUUAUUAUUAUUAUUAUUAUUAUUAUUAUCAAUUAAUUGAGAUAAUAACAAAUGUAUGGUGAUGAAAUAUUACAUGUGUACAUGUGUGUAUGAAUACACAUGUAGUAUUUUUAUUUGUCUUAAUUAGAUAUUUUAUAAUUAAUUAUUAAUUUAGUAAAUGAAAUAAAUAAAAUGAAAUAAAGAAUAAAUAAAAGAAAGAAAAACAAGAAAAAGAAACAGAGAAGCAACGAAAUAGAAAGACAGAAAGAAGAAAAAGAAAAGAAAAGAAAAAGGAGAAAUUAGGGUUUGAAAGCUUGAAAGUUAAAUUGGUAAGUCAAUUAAGUCCCUUUCUUAGUGAUUUUGAUGUUUUUGAAGUUUUAAAGUUGAAUACUUUUGAAUUUUGUGAAAAUAUUGAAAGAUGAUAGACUUUUAAGUAGGGUUUAUGUUGAACUAAUGAUGAAAUUAGGAGUUUAAUUGAUAGAAAUUUUGAUUUAAAUUGAUUAAAGGAUUGAAUUGUAAACAAGGUCAUAAGUUUUGUAUUGUAGGGACUAAAUUGAUAGAAAUUCAAAAUUAUGGAAAAAUAAUAAAAUUUUGAUGGUUAUGUUAAAGUUUUGAUGGAAAUUGAAUAAGUAAUAUGAAUUAUAAAAAAGGAAGAAGAUGAAAAUAGUUAGGACAAAUUUGGGAUUUAGGUUAAAGUUGCAUGGAAAGUUAUUAUUUUCUAUAAGAUAAGUGUGUUAUUAAUUAAUUAUAAUUAUGCUAAUUUUAGUAGCAAAAAAAGAAACCGAGACGUUGAAUGAGAAGGGAAAGGAAAAAGUGAUCGAUGAGUAGCUUAAUUCAAGUUAUUUAUUAUUAAAUGUUUAAUUUCAAUAUAUGUGCAUGAAAAAUGAAAUUGAGGUAAGUAGUGAUAUUUGAAUUGAAUGAGAAUAGGAUUUGAUUGAUGAAUGUAUUCAUGUGUGAAAUUGAAUUUUAUAAUGAUUUGUGGUGAAUUUGAAAUUAUGAUUGAAUUGUUAUUGUGACUGAUUUUAAUUCGAAUUAUUUCGAUACCCUAUUAACUAGUCGGGCUAGGGUGGAUAUAGUUGGCAUGCCAUAAGAUAGGAAGAAUUCAGGGAUUCUUCGACCUCGAGUCGAUAAGACACUUGGUGUGUCAUAUUUACUUCGGAUAGAUUCAAUGAGGUGUUGGUCGCCACUUUGUUUCGGCUUAGCCGAUGAGACGUUGAUCGUCACUUAUUUGCUUCGAACUAUCCGAGGAGGCGUUGUCCGCCACUCUGGUGUGUUUGGUUGGAUCGUGUAUCCUCCAAAGUCCGAGUGAUGUUAAUAGGGGAAAUAUAUGUGAAGAGAAAAAUCAAAUGAAAUUGAUAAAUUGAAUUAUUGAAUGAAAUGAGAAAGUGAUAUUGUAAGAUGAAUUGAGAAAUGCAAUUUAUGCUAUGAGAUUGAAUGCAUAAAACCAAGAUUCAUGAAUUAUUCAUAUUUGAAUGUGAAUUGGAUAUUUAUAUGUGAUUGAGAGAUGAACCAAAGGUUCAUGAUUAGUUGGUAAUCUUAUUGAUGAUAUAUUGAAUCAAAUAAUGAAAAUGAUACAAUGGAAAUAUGAUAACUUAGUAUGAAUUAUAUGUAUGAUUUGUUAAUUAUUUAUGCAUGUUUAUAAUAUUUUAUAUUUGCUAUAGUUUGAAUUAUGGUAAUACCACUGAAUAUUUCCAAUAUUCAGUGUACGGUUUGUUUCCGUGCGCAGGCUAGGUAAAGUUGAAGUUCGGUACACAUCCGAGUCAAUCCCAACCUUAACUUAAUUUUUGGUGUUGAGUCUAUCUUUUAGAAGUGUGGCAUGUAUUAGGUUUUGUUUAGUCACCUUAAUAUAUUUAUGUUUUGGGUGUAAGUAAUUUAUAACUUUUAUGAAGUAUUUGAAAUGAAUAGAUGAAUGUUAUUUGAUCAAGAUUUAUAAGUCAAUGUCUUGGGCAUUAAAUUAGGUGUGUUUGAUAUGUGAAAAUAGCUUUAAAAUGGUGAAAAAUCAUGUUUUCACACGGCCAAGUCACAUGGGCAUGUGCCCAGGCCGUGUGGUAAAGUCAGAAUUGGCCACAGGUUAGUCCCACGGCCGUGUGAGAAAGUCAGAUCUGUCCACGGGCUGGCCCCACGACUAUGGGAGCCCCACAGGCAGGCCACAUGGGCAAGUCCUAGGCCACACGGGCGUGUGCCCCUAUUCUCAAGGAAAAGUUUCUAAAGUUCCCGGUUUAAUCCCAAAACACUUUUUAAGUAUAUUUUGGGCCUUGUAGGUCCAUAUUAGGGACUUAAAGGUGGAAUUUGAGAAAUUUUAAAUUAAAAUAUAGAUUUAUGACUCGGUGUUGUUCGUUAUUAGCGUCUAAUUUCGGUAAUGCCUCGUAACCCUAUUUCGACAACGGGUUAGGGUUAAGGGGUGUUACAAAAAAAGUUAAAAAAUUAUUUUUAAAAAUUAAAAACAUAAAACAUAUAAAAAAUAUUUUUAAAUUUUUUAAAAAAUAAGUAAUUGCUGACAUGACAUAUAUGUGGCAAUAAGUCAGCAAAGUUCAAACGUUAACUUUUCCAUCUAUUUUGGGGUGAUGUGACAAAAAACACAUAUUCAAUGUUUUAAAGAGGCAAAAAAAAUGAUAGCUAAAAUGACUUUUUUUAUAAAAUUGAAAAGUUAAAAAGGUCAUUAUAGCUUUUGUGAACUAUAUUAAAAGAAUUGUUUUCUCAUACAUUAAAUAUUAGAAAAGAUCUAAUUAUCAUGACUUGAACUUUAGACUUUAAAUAUCAAUACAGAGCACUUAAUCACCUGCAAAUUAAAAGUUUUAUUAUAUAUGUAUUUAUUCAAUUUUUAAUAUUUUUAGUAGAGAAAAUAAUUGUUACACUGCGAGUGAAGCUUGUAGACUUCAAAAGUAGGGUCAUUAGGUUGACAAGUUUCCUAUAAAAACAUAGUAAAAUAAUAAAAAAUAAAUAUUUUAAAAAAGAGAUACAUAACAUAAUUUUAAAAUUACUUGUGAAAUAAAAAAAAUUCAUUGUGAAUAUACUAAAAACUUAACACUUUUUAAUAAAUUAAAUAUGAUCAAUCAAACUAAUUCCAAAAGUAUACUUUUUAAUUUUUACUAUGUUGCUUUUUACAGAUGCCUAUACAAGGUAUACUUGGCUCUACUUCUUGAAAAACAAGUCUGAAGUUCUUUAUGUGUUCCCUCACUUUCAAAGACAAACUGAAAGAGUCAUUGAGCAUAAACUUAAAACACUACAGACAGAUGGUGGUGGGGAGUUUCAAGCUUUGAAAAGGUACCUAGCUCAACAAGGGAUCAUGCAUCGCCUCACAUGCCUCUAUACUUCAGCCCAAAAUGGCUUGGUUGAACGAAAACAUAGGCAAAUUGUCGAAACAGGGCUUUCCAUGCUGGCUCAUGCCUCUAUGCCUCUAGUCUACUGGAGUGAUGCUUUUGCUAGUGCAGUAUACUUGCUUAACAGAUAACCCUCCCAUCCUAUAAACCAUGCUUCACCACAUGAAAAGUUGUUCAAAACCACACCACACUAUACCUUCUUAUGUGUAUUUGGGUGCCUGUGCUUUCCUAACCUUAGGCCUUAUAAUAACCACAAGUUGCAGUUCAGGUCCACUCCAUGCACCUUUUUAGGCUAUUCUCCAUCUCAUAAAGGAUACCGCUGCCUAGACUCUUUUGGAAAGGUGUAUGUUACACGACAUGUCACUUUCAAUGAAAAAGUGUUCCCUUUUCACAUUAACCAUCUUAAGCCUACUAGCUCUCUACUACAACCAAAGUCCAGCUCUAAGCUUCUUGUCCUAUUGGCAACCUGUAUUGAACCUACUCCUUGUGUUCAAACAUCAAAUCACUCACCCACCACACUUAUCACUUCACACAAUAGUAGACCUCUUUCACCUAUAUCCUCACUUAAUCUUAACCCUCAACCUCAAUAUACAAACCCAUCUAUUUCUUCUUCUACUUCAUCCGUCUCUCCACAAGUUAACUCCAUACCCGAUCAUCCACCUUUAUUACCUGUUCCAUGUAACACUCAUCCUAUGGCCACACGUAGCAAAACCGAUGUAUUUAAACCAAAAGCUUAUAUAACCAUUGCACCUUCUUCCCUUGGUGAUGUCCCCACCAACAUUCAUGCUGCAAUGUCACAUGACUCUUGGAAGGCUGCUAUGUACAGUGAAUUACAGGCGCUCAUUAACAAUAACACAUGGAGGUUGUGCUCCUUACCAGCAAACAGACGAGCUGUUGGUUGCAAGUGGCUUUUUAAGGUGAAGUCGAGGGCAGAUGGUACUGUUGAACAAUACAAAACACCUCUAGUAGCAAAGAGGUUUUCACAGAAUGCUGGCUUAGAUUACCAAGACACUUUCAGUCCGGUAGUUCGUGCUACUACCAUUCGCAUAGUUCUUACUAUCUCAGUCAUGAAAAACUGGUCGUUAAGACAAGUUGAUGUCAACAAUGCUUUUCUUAACGGGGAGCUGGCUCAAGAUAUCUACAUGGAACAACCACCAGGGUUUGAAGAAUCUGGUCCUAAUGGAGAGAAGCUUGUUUGUAAGCUGAACAAAGCCCACUAUGGGCUGCGCCAAGCCCCUCGCGCAUGGUUCCAAACACUCAAACAGUAUCUCGUUGAUCAACUUGGUUUUCGUGCUGCCAAGGCGGAUCUGUAGCUAUUCAUACGUACUGCAUCCGACAAUAUUCUGUUACUCAUGGUCUAUGUUGACGAUAUUGUUCACACAGGUAGUUCUAAUUCAGAGAUUGACAGAGUUGUUCAACUACUUCAUACAAAGUUUGCUCUCAAAGAUAUUGGACCCCUUACUUUUUUCUUGGGCAUCACUGUUGAACGAUCCUCUAAAGGACUGUUUCUUAGCCAACAGAAGUAUAUUCAUGAGAUUUUGGCCCUAACAGGCAUGACUGCUUCAGCGCCCACACCAACACCUAUGGUGAGUUUCCCGAAAUUGGUGGCGGAUGAUGAGAGUCUACUUCUAGCUGAUGGCUCUCUAUGUAGAAGUAUAAUUGGCAAGCUGCAAUACAUGUGUAUCGCUCGACCUGACCUGACCUACUGUGUCAACAAAUUAAGGGUGAGUUUGGAUGGGCGGUGCGUUUAGCUGCGGUUAGUGUAAAAAUAGCGGUGGCGGUGAGAUUAGAUACUGUAGCGAUACUAUAGCGUGAGACAAAAAGUAAGCUAAACGCACCUCGCCGCAGUCAAUCGCCCAUCCAAACGAAGCCUAAGUCAAUACAUGAAUGCUCCAAGAGAGGUUCAUUAGAGAGUAGUCAAGCGAGCUCUACGCUACCUCAUUGGCAUCAUUAAUCAUGGACUCUUCUACUGAAAAAGUUAGUUUCAGCUCACUUGCUAUUCAAAUGCUGACUGGGCUUAUUCAAUUGAAGACAUACGCUCCACAACUGGCUAUGUGGUUUAUCUAAGAUCCAAUCCCGUUGCAUGGUGCUCUAAGAAGCAGGUCGUUGUAUCUAGAUCAACAUCCGAGGCAGAAUAUAGAAGCCUCGCCAAUUGUGUGUCUGAGCUCUUAUGGAUCAAACAGUUGUUAGAAGAGGUUGGAGUGAUCACCUGUCAAACCCCUGUAAUUUGGUGUGAUAACACGUCUACUGUGUCCGUGGCUGCCAAUCCUACGCAUCAUGCUAAGGUAAAACAUGUCGAAAUUGAUCAUCACUUUGUCUGAGAGAAAGUGCUUGAUGGCACAUUACAGGUCAACUAUGUCCCUUCUGACAAACAGAUUGCUGAUGCCCUCACAAAACCAGUCACACCCAAGACAUUUGGCUCUGUUCGACAGGCGCUUCGUGUGUUGUCCAACGAUACUGCAUCUGCUCUCAAAGAACAAGAGAAAAGCCAGGAGAAUGUUAGAGUAACUAAUAAAACUAAUAAGUUAGUUAAUUGCAGUUAGCAGUUAAGACUCUGUUAAGCAGUUGACAGUUAUCUCUAUAUAACGUGCAUAUACUGCAUACAUGGAAGUAAGGUUUUUACAACAGUUUUGUAUCUCAUAAUUCACUUCUUAAUUCAAUAUAGAAGUUAUAGUGAAUGUUUAACACUGUUAUAUAGCUACUUUUCAAUCGACUUAUUAGAUUUUUUAAUAUAUUAAAUAUGUUUAGCUUUUUUUAGAGAAUCAUAAAUAAAAAGCAAGCACUAAAUUGAUAAAGUUGAGAGAAAUAUUAGAACUUAAGCCAACAGACUUACCUUAUAUGCAAUUCGCCGAGCGAAGACACCAUCAAGAUUAAUAUUGAUGCGGCUUGGAAUAGAGAGGCAGAGACAGCUACUUGUAGAGCGAUUUUGUGACGUAAUGAGGGAAUGGUGCUUACCAGCUUUGUUAGUUAGAUCAAGGGUGCCUUUAAUGCUCCUUCCCCCGAGGCUCUUACUAUGUCAUGCGCCAUUUAGAACGCCCUUCAGAGGGGUUAUUCUAGAGUUGUCUUAGGGCCUUGUUGUGCCUUUAAUGGACUUAUCAUUUUAUGGUCGUAUUGUUAGGGAGGCCUUGAUACUUAGUGACAUGUUUGAUUGUAUUUGCUUUACUUUUACUCAUAUGUCGGCCAAUUGUGUUGCACACUUUUUGACACAUUAGAUGAUGAAUAGGAGUAUUACCUUAGAUUUUAGUUUGAAUUAUUCAAAUUUCAUCCACCUAUUAAUGUUAGAUAACAUUAUUUGAUCAAUGUAAUUCUCGCCUAUGGUUUACAAUAGUUGUAACUAUGAUUUACGAAAUGUUAAAUUGAGUGGGGAAAAAAAUCAAUGAGCAAAUGUUUGUAAGCAUUGCAAUUAAUAGUUUGAGAAGUUUCAGUACUACUAUUAGUAACACACACAUCAAAAGCAGGAACUGAAUAAAGCCAUAAAUUAAGGGGCUUCCCCUUCAGAUAAGUAACAAAAGUUAUACCAAUAAAUGGAUAACAAAGUGAAACAUUGCUAACUUCCUAGUGCUGAAUUAAAGAGAGGAGGCCUUUAGGGAAAUACUAAAAAAUCAUAGGCAUCCGUCACUGGUAGUGGCAAUUCAUUUGAUUUUCAGCAACAUUUUCAGUACCAAUUUAUUGCUGCACGUAACUUCACUAGAGCAUCUUCAAUUCUCAGCACCACCAUCAUCAUCUUCGUACUCGACAUCUUCAUCAGCUGAGGCAUCUUGGUAUUGCUGAUACUCUGCAACAAGGUCAUUCAUGUUACUUUCUGCUUCAGUGAACUCCAUUUCAUCCAUUCCUUCUCCAGUGUACCAAUGCAAGAAGGCUUUCCUUCUAAACAUGGCUGUAAACUGCUCACUAACUCUCCUGAACAUCUCCUGUAUUGAAGUUGAAUUCCCGAUAAAAGUCGAAGCCAUCGAAACCCCUUCAGGAGGGAUGUCACAAACACUGGAUUUCACAUUGUUUGGGAUCCACUCAACAAAGUAGGAAGAGUUUUUGUUUUGCACAUUCAGAAUUUGUUCAUCAACUUCUUUGGUGCUCAUUUUGCCUCUAAACAAGGCUGAUGCAGUAAGAUAACGACCAUGGCGUGGAUCAGCGGCGCACAUCAUGUUCUUGGCAUCCCACAUUUGUUGUGUCAGCUCAGGGACCGUGAGUGCACGGUAUUGCUGUGAUCCUCUAGAUGUUAAUGGAGCAAAUCCCACCAUGAAAAAGUGAAGCCUUGGGAAGGGGAUUAAGUUUACUGCUAAUUUUCGAAGGUCUGAGUUAAGCUGACCCGGGAAUCGCAAACAGCAGGUUACACCACUCAUUGUUGCAGAUAUUAAAUGGUUCAAGUCUCCGACUGAAAAAAUUAAACAUCUAUCAGAUGGGGUUUCACAUAACAUAAAUUAAGGAAAGAUGAGAUGAUUGAGUUAAUUCAGUUAGUUACAGCUUGGGGUAGUGAGCUUUAGAGUCCUGAGGCAGAUAUCAUAGAGUGCUUCAUUGUCGAGAACCAUGCAUUCAUCAGCAUUUUCCACCAGCUGGUGGACUGAAAGAGUGGCAUUGUAAGGUUCAACCACAGUGUCCGACACUUUUGGAGAUGGGAAAACGGAAAAUGUGAGCAUCAUACGAUCAGGGUAUUCUUCUCUUAUCUUUGAAAUAAGCAGGGUCCCCAUUCCAGAUCCUGUUCCUCCUCCAAGUGAAUGGCACACUUGAAACCCUGCAAAAGGCUCAAGAGAAGUUGCCAAAUGAGCAAAUAGGUAAAAAGGAUAAUAUGAAUGAACCAAAGGUAGAGUCUAAUAAAAGAAACCUUGUAGACAGUCACAAUUCUCAGCUUCCUUCCUAACAACAUCAAGUACUGAAUCAAUCAACUCGGCUCCCUCAGUGUAAUGACCCUUAGCCCAAUUGUUUCCAGCCCCGGACUGGCCGAAAACAAAGUUAUCAGGCCUGAAAAUCUGCCCAUAGGGGCCGGUUCGAAUACUGUCCAUCGUUCCAGGUUCAAGAUCCAUGAGAACGGCUCGUGGCACGUACCGGCCACCACUUGCCUCAUUGUAGUACACAUUAAUUCUUUCUAGUUGCAACUCUGAAUUUCCGAUGUACUUACCAAUUGGAUCAAUCCCAUGUUCACCACAAACAACUUCCCAAAACUUAGAUCCAAUUUGGUUCCCACAUUGCCCUCCUUGAAUGUGUAGUAUUUCACGCAUUUUGACUUAGGGUGAAAUGGGAAUUUAAAAAAAAAAGUUUUUUGUUUACUAAAAAGAACUGCUUCCCUUAGAGGGCUUGAAAAUAGCAAGCGAAUGGAGCAGCUAUUAAUAAAGACGUAUUUCACCUUUCAGUUGUAAAUGAAGGGUUAAGAUGGGGUUGGGAAAUUAUGAUCCGACGGCUAAGAGGUGUCCGACCACCGAGAGAGAAAGUAUGUCAAUUAGUGAGAUGGCUUGGUUCGGGGAUGACUAAAAGUUGCCAUUUGGAGUUGGUUAAGUGAGCGUCGCCGGCUAUUUAUAAAUGUAAGGCCUGUUUCUAUUAGUUAAUUAAUGAUGGGCAGUCGUCUAGACGAAACUGACAUGACAUUGACGCCCCUAAUAUCUCCUAAAAUUUUAUUGUGGGCAGUGAUUAGAGUAAUAAAAUAUAAAGGAAGUCAGACAAUCCUUCAACUGGAAUCCGAUUAUAACUAGAUUGAUUAAGACAAAAAUAAUAUAAUUUAAUUUGAUAAAGGUCAAAGGUAAUUAAAUUUAUGGUUGACCAAAAAGGCAAUCUUGCCCCCCGUAAGCUACAUAUGCACAACCUGAUUGAAAAAGUAAGCUAUAUGAUGUCAUGGAAAAUUAUUCUGCUUCCAAGCAUAGGUAUUGGGCUACCCUAGAACUAAAACAUAAAAAUCUACAAGUCAACACCAUCCUAGACUUUAUUAGAUCCUGCAUCAAACAUCUUAUUCAUUCCUUUUAUCAUAUCAGUGUUAUAAAUGUUAUCUUCUUCAUUCCUUUUAUCAUAUCAAUGAAAGAAGGAAAACAUGGCGAUGGAGUUGGAGUGAAGAAGAUGAAAGAAGGAAAAAAUAAAAUAAAUUAUGGAAGGUGGGGAGUUUGAUUGGUGGAAGGGGAUGAUAAAAAGGAAAAAAAUGGAGAGAGAUGUCAAAAUGGAAAAGUAUAUGCCAUGUGGCACAUUUUUAUUUGCUAAACUUUUUUUAACGUCUAUAAACCAUAAGUUUUCAUACUUUAGAUAUUUAAAUCUUCCCAAUAUUUGAGCAAAUCUUCAACAAGUCUGGUCAUGAAUAUGUAACUUUUUUCUUUUUUUUAGUAUUAUAAUGCUCAUAUUUGAUAUUUAAUUUUUACAUUUUAAUUCAAUUUAGCCAUUAUAUUAUAAUGGUUAAAUUAUAUCAUACUUCUCCAAAUUAUGGUUUAAAUAUCAAAUUAACCCUUAAACUUUACAAUAUUUUAAUUAAGUAAUCAAAGUAUUAAUAUUAUAUCAACUAAGUUAUUUUGUUAACCUAGUUGUAAGCUUAAGCAUUAAAAUGUUAGCUUAGAUUUGACAUAGAGCAUAUGUGGUUAAGAAAUAAACAAUGUCAUUCAAUUUUAAGAGGGUUUUUUUGUUUUUCUUAGUACAGUACACCCAAAUUGUUCUUUAGAUACGUACACAUGUUUAAAAUUUGAUCAUUGUAUUUUAAAUAUGUUUCACGUCAUAUUCAAGUCAGCAUUUAAUACUCAAGUUGAUGAAUAAGUUAAUGAAAAAUCUUGAUUGAUACGACACUAACACUACGAAGACUUAAUUACAACAUUUUAAAAUUCUGAUGUUAAUUUAAAAUAUCAAUCAUAGCUUAGGGACAAAAUGAAUUAACCCUAAACAUUAAUAUACAAAUACUUUAAAAAAUAUAUAAUGCAGUUUCAAAAAAAAUAUUUAAUACCAAUAAAACUUUUGUAUUAUUGACAAAGGUUAAUACAAUAAAUUUUGAAUAUUUAAGUUUGAGUCUUAUCAUGCGUGAUUAUCAUAUGUAAUAUUUUAAUUUUAUCGUGAGCAAUUAUUAUGUGAGAAUUUCUACUUAAAUAGAGCUAAAUAAAAUUUGAUUUGAUUUGAAAAAAAUUAUUUAAAAUUUAAAGUUAAUUGAAUUAAAUUAUUUAAUUUUUUAUUAAAUCAAAUAAAUAAUUUUAUUUUUUAAAAUAAAAUAAAAUUAAAUUUUACAAUUCAAAUAAUUUAAAUAAUAAAUAAGAAUAAAAUCACUAGUUGAUAAUUUAAAAAAAAUGUGAAAAUUGAUGAAUUUCAACAACAAAAAAUACAAAAAUUUCAGCGGGCGAACUCGGGAUAAGCCCUGACCAAUUUUGGAUCGUGGCAUUUAACACCUUUUAAAACGAUAACAGUCCAUCCUACUAGAGGAGCGGUCGGCCCGGUGCCGGAAGUCAGUCACAGUCGCGCACGUGAGAUCAGUCGUUGGUGUAGAGCUUUCACGUGCAAUUCAUUUUUCGAUAAACUCAGGCCUUCACCAUCACAUACUGACAUACACCCAUUACGCUGGCAUUUAUAGCCUUCGACCGUUCAAACUUCAAACCUACGUAACGACGUUACCCGCGCUGCUCCUCUGUUUCUGCAAUAACCCACGCUCUCACUAAUUUGUUCCUUCAGCAUUUACUCCCCUUCACCUCCUUCCCUACUCCAAAACGGGCGUUAUGCUAAUCUAAUCUUAAGAAAAAGGAACAAGCUUUAUAUGGCAAAUUGGAUCUCUUCCAAGCUCAAAGUCGCUGAAACUCUCCUUCAACAGGCAAGUUUUUCCUUCCUUUUCAUAGUUCUUUUUCUUAAUUUCAUUUUUAGUGUUCAUUUUGAAUUUUAUUGAUUUGGUUUCAUUUCAUUGCCCCCCCCCAUUUUUAUUUUUAAUAAAAAAAAUAUGGGCUUGAUUUAGAGUAGUUGUAACUUGAAACUUGCAUUAUGUGAUGGACUAUUCAGAUCGAUCAGCAAGCGGCGGAGUCGCUUGGGAAGAAUGAAAAGCAAUUAUCCGAUGAGAUUACAUUGGACACUCCAACGAAACCCAAUGGGGGUGUAUCUUUAAAGGAUCAGUUAAAAAGGCAACCACAAGAUAAUAAUGAUUAUCAAGGCAAAUUGUUCAGUGAUCCCAUUUCUAAUAUGCCUAGUAAUAAUAAUGAUAGUAAAAGUUACAAUUCAGUUAAUAUUACGAGUCGGGAAAAAGAAAUUUCAAGAACAAGAGCUUCAUCGAAACCUAAUACCAAGCUUACGGAUAGUGAUUGGACUGAACUUCUUAGUACACCUAGUCAGGGGACGAGUUCUAGUACUAAUGGGGUAUUUGGGAUUCGAAGCUUGAAGAAAGAUGGCGGGACCAAAGGACAUUUAGGGUCUCAUUUGUCACUGCUGGAAGAGAAGUGGAAACAAAAGAGGAAUGUUAAUGGCAGUAAGUCUGUAAGGAGAUCAGAUAUAGUUUUGGGAAAUAAGUUGAAUGGUAAGCGGAGCAAUGGUGAAGAAUCAAGUGCUUCAGUGAGGCCAUCUAGUGUUGAUAAACAGAAUGAUGGUAAGAAUUCGGAGGAGUUGGAGUUGGAUCACAAGGACACUCCCGCAAGCUUUAUGGUGAAAAUGAAAGAUUCAAGGGAUGAAGAAAAUGAUAGGAAAUUGGAUUCUAAAGAGCUUCUGAUCAAUUUGGAAGGGUUUUCACUGUCUGCGAACAAGAACCAGUCAACCCGAAAGGUGUUGGAUUUGGGAGAAGUUGAUGGGGUACCUGAUGCGCUGAUAGGAAUUGCUGAUGCUCAUGGUCAGUUCAGAACAACUGUAAGUGGGAAAUCCAAGUCCAUUGGCUCAUCCAGAAGUUCAGUCUUUGAUGGUGUAAAAGGGGCCUCUCAGCCAUCAAGUGAUGCAAGCUCUGAUUUGGAUCCAGAUUCUGGCUCAGCAUCUGACUCUGAAAGUGAACAUGAGAGGGAGGAAAGGAGGAAGAGGAAGGAGAGGCUUAUGGCUGAGCGAGCAGCAGUUAAAGCUGUGGAUGCUAUCAAAGAACGAGAGAAUACGGUUGCCAGAUUGGAAGGAGAGAAACAGAGCCUGGAGAAAAUACUUGAGGAAGGAGCCAAGCAACAUGCACAAGAGGUAAUAUUUCAUGGCUUUUUUCAAUAUUAUAUGCACGCAUUCAUUUUUAUUUCUUUUUUUGUUGAGUUUGAUAUGGAAAUAUUUUGUUCUGACCAUCAGGAUUCUUUUCUCCGAAAAUAUCCAGGUUAUACACUUUGAAAAUGAAAUACUACCAGAAAUUUGUUGUUCACAAGAAAAAUAUGAUGCAUUAAGCUUUGUUUUGUAAUAGAGGGUUGGGUGAUUAGGGGCUGACCGUAGUGGCAUGCAAUUGGAAACAAACAAAACUAGGGCUGCGGGUGCCACCAAACAAAUUCUUUAUAUUGUUAGUAAUAGAGUGUUUGACUUCUCUAGAGGUUACUCACCCCAUUUGCUUCAAUGCCUUUAAGAUUUGAAUCUACAAUGUAGCAGGAAUAGAAAAGCCUGGAAGUAUAGCCAGUUCUAGAUUCUUCUUUUCCUCUUUCUUUCAUUAAGAUUAGCAGCUCUAUCUGAGCUACAUAAAAAUUGUGAUGCCUUCUGUUUUCCUUUCUUAAUUUGAUGUGUGCCUUCAGUUUUCCUCUCAUAAGUUUAUGCUUGCAAGUUCUAAAUGCCUACCAAGUUGAAGUGGAAAAAAAUCAUGCUUAUCCACGGAUUUUAUCAUCUUCGUAUAUUGCUUUAUAAUUAUUUUUACUAUUUAAGGAAUUAUUAUAGUUAGAUCAUGGUUUUAUUUUGUAUUUGGUAUCCAUGUUAUGGUUCGGAGAGUAGUCUAUUUUGUAUUAAGUACAUAAUUCAAUUUUUUUUCUUUUUUUGGGUACAAUUACAAUAUGGGGGAGGGGGAUGACAAUACCAGGGUUUGAACCCUAGUCCCUGGGUGCCAACAGAAGCCUCAACCUCUGCUCCAAAAAAGUGUUGGCAGUAUAUUUGGUUUAUGAAUAUUGAGAUUUGAGCAUUGAAUUCUAUCCUUAGUUUUUUCCUUUUGUCCUUUUACUUGAUUUUCAUUCCUUAUUUCCCUUUAUCCUCUACUUCUUUCUAUUCCCUUCCCUUGCUCUGUGGUUGAAGUUGUCUGUCCAAUGUUCAAUUCUAGCAUUAAUGGCUUGUAAUCUUCUUACUUCCGUCAGGCUUCAGAGCUGCAGACUACUACAAUGGAAAUGAUGGAUGCUGUUGAGCUAGAAAAGCAGAAACAUAAUGAUACUAGAAUGGAAGCUCUUCAGCGAUUAGCUAAGCUAGAGGUGCUGCAACAAUGGUUUUAGAUCGCGACUUCACGUUUCUUAAACAAUUUUCUCCAUAUUUUUGUUGGUCUAUUGCAUUUGGACAGAAAUUCAUGUUUCUAAUAUUGCUAGUAGUUGCAGACCACUAAUGCUGAUCUUGCAAGAUCACUUGCUACUGCACAGAAGAGACUUGAAGUAGAGGUAUGAUACUUUUAAAUAUCAAUUGUCUGGUUGGAUUGACCCCCUUUCUUCAUUCUUUCAAUUUUUAUUUGUCAGAAAAUUUCUUUGCUCUCUUUACGAUAUGUCAUUAGUGCCUGGGUUCUAAAGUCUGGUUUUUAUCCAUAUGUUAAUUUGUUUUUGAACCAUGCUUGUUAAGAUAACAGGUUAGAAAGACAGCACAUAAAGGAGAAAUAUAAAGAAAACCAGUGCUGUUGUUUUGUAUAUCAGUCUCGAUGCUGUUGCUUUGAUAUCAGGAUUAAUUUUAGAGUGAUCGAUCUAGUAGUGUCUUGUACUGGCUUGGUUCUUAGGCCUGACCAAUUUACUAAUUGAUGACUUCAGGAAUUGAUAGAUAUAUUUUAAAUGUAACUAACACCACAAUGGAAGCAUUUCUAGCCUCAUCCUGCCAUAACCUUAUAUAUGGUGCUCAUUGCAUUUUAGCCUUUUGGACCAGAUUAAUCGGGUAGCAGAUCUCCGGCGACAAAUUGAGCUGGAAGAAGCAGCUCAUGAAGGUAUCUUUUAUCUUGAUCUGACAGUUUCUUUAAAGUGUGUGUGGAAGAACCUCUUCUCUUUUCCAACAUCAACCCCAAUAAAGAGGACAAAGAAGAAAAUAUAAAACCACUUGCCUUAAAUGAGUUUAUGGAGGAAAAAAGAACAAAAAAGAAUUAAAUAUUUAUUGUUGCAUCUAGAGUUGUGAUAACAUUUUGGCUACUAAUCCUCUUAUGGUUGAUGGGAAUUGGCACAGUGAAAAGUUAUUUUUUGAAGCUAACUGAUCAUUAAAAAUUAAAAAUUAAUGGAACUUCAUACAGACCUGAAACUUUAGGUUUCAGGUGCUUUUGGUGUAAGACUAAGCUAUUUUUUAGAGUUCUUUCCAAAGUGUCAAUUGCCAAGCAUUAAAUUAAAACCAAUCACUGUUACAAAAAGGAUCUUCAAGGUAGAAAUCAUUUUUCUUUUUCUUAAAAAAAAAAAAAAGAACAAGGGGAGACAUAUCAGGUUUAGUUUUGACAUCUGAGGGUGUCUUUUUGCUUAUCAGGGGGUGGGAGCCCUCCAAAAUGCUGUUUUUUUCCUUCUUACCAAUUGUAACUUGGAACUCUAUUUUCUUUCCUGCAUCAUCUUUUCCCUUUUUAUUAAAUUAAUUUUAAUUUAUUUUACAAUUAAGCACCUUGUGGUUUGUGGUGGAAUAAACUACCACUUGAGGUUUGAGAAGCAGUAUUUAACUAUGAGUUACUACUUGAACCUACCAAUCUAACACAAUUAACUUGUUCACCCCAUUUCUUUGUUGUGUUGUGGCUGAUCCUUUUCUCUUUUCCUUGAUCUGAUCUUUCUUUUCUAUCUCAAUAAUGCCCCAAUCUUGGAUUUAAUUGCUCCCUUGCAACCAAUCUUUGUCCUCGCUUUUGCUACUACCCAACUGAAGAGACUAGAUUUGAUUGUUACCCAAUAGCUCUUCCCUGAUCUGUUUUCACUUUUCACCUUCUCUCUCGAGAAUAUAAUUCGCUCACAUAAGAAUCUUCAAGUCCUUUGAGAGUGGUUAACUGUUGGUUCUUAAAUGAUGGGAUGCAAAAUCUUUUAAGCCUCACUGCAGUUUUCUCUUUUCUUUUUUGGGCAAAAUUUAAUUUUAAUUAGAUUUUCUGGCUUUUUUGGUAUUCAAUAGUAGUGUCUUUUCAAUAACUUGAAUAGAUGGAAAUGUUUUAAAUGCAUUUUAUUUUUCAUAUUGACAAUGAUGAUGUUGCUUACAUCUAAUUGUUAUAAUUUAGGGCAACAACUCUUGGAUAUAUCGUAUACUCGCUGAGAACAAGAUAAUUAUCUUGUUGAGAUGAGAGCUCCAUUCUUUUGUGCUGUCAAUAGAAUCAAUUAUAACAAGUCACACAUUCAUAUUCUGGAAAUACAGACACAUAAAUUUUGCGAUUGAACUACCAAAAUAGUAUGGGCUAAGAGGUUAAAGGGGUUGUGUGGUGCAUGAGACUCCUGCUUUUUGGGCCUAGGGAAUGUCAUAAGCAGUCUCUUGACUAAUAGUAUGCUGAAAUAAGGACCUAUUUCUAUUGGACUUUACAAGUUACUUAUACUUCUUUUUCACCUUGUAGAACUAAAGAGGAGGAUUGCCAGUAAUCAUCAGAGUGGAACUAAUCUGAACCAAGUUAAGUAGUUCCUCGUAUCAUAUUGGAUCUAUAAAAUACUGACUACAGAGACUGCUAUAAUCUAGCAUUUUCAGCAAAAAUACUUUGUAUCAAAGGAUUCUUUGGAUAAUCUUAUCUGUUAACUUUUAAUUUUAAAAUGUUGUAGUUAGCAGCAUCAAAGGGAAUUGAAUUUGGAUGUGAAAUCCUCGAGGCAGAGUACUCUCUUGUCGCUGAUAAAAUUGGACAGUUGCAAGACAAGGCUAGCUUUCUUUCUUAUUCUCUCUCUUUUUGCCCUCUCUAGAUGUUCACAUUCAGUUAUAUAAAUUGCAAUGAUAUGGCAAGUUACAUAAAGUUCAAUUACGCCAUUCAGCCAUUGUUAGCUGCAUGUUCCUUUUUUUACUAGAAUGGACAAGUAGUAAUAUGGAUAUAAAGAUCAACAUCUCUCAACUUAAUAGUGCCCAGUCAUGCAUUUGUAUCCAUUUAGUUACUAAAAUUAUAUGAAAAAUCUAGCAUAUAGAAUUAAGGUCAUAUUAGUCAUUCCUGUUCCUACAUUGUAGGAGUGAGGCCCAUUUUUAAAUUGAUUUUUGGGCGCUUAAAAGUAGCAAAAUACCUGUUCUUUUUUAAGCCAUAUCAUCUUUCCCACUUUUCCUUUUAAACCCACUUUGGGAAAAUUAAGCAUUGCAUAUCCUUGUAGCGAACAACUCCAAAAAGCUAGAAGAUGAUGUUGAAUGUUGAUGUAUAAAUUAAAGUCAAAGCUUAAAACUUAUAUAGGACAACAGAGAGGAUUCUUUUUGUACCUGUAGGAGAAAGGAAGUGGUAAUAGUUGUAGAACUUGGGACACGAGGGAAGGUGUGCAAGUAGCCUUUAGUUUAUGCAUACAAAAAAUCCAUGUUGACUUUUAACUAGUGGUUAUGUUAGAAAAGUCAUUUCUCUAAGAAAGACAUAGAUGGGUCAAAACUCAGAUGCAAGAGGCAGAGAGAACAUCAAUUUUGAUAAGGUGUGCCCAGAUAAAUAUAUCUUGUUUAUUAUAUUUUCAUUAUCAUUUGUGGUGUCUUUAUAAUUCACAAAUUAAUUUCGAGAACUUGGCUGUAAGUCUUUGUUUGGUAUGUAGGAUGAAAAGGAGUGAGGAUGGAAAAUUUGUUAAUUUAAUGGUUAAGCUUCAAAGUAAGAAAGUGGUUUUGAAUCUUAACCAUUUGGUUAACAAAUUUUCUAUCACCACUCAUUUCUAUCCUUGAUAAUUAGCAAAGCUUUAGAGGCAAACUCACUCAAUCCUUUAUGUAUUGGCUAAAGUAUUAAAAGUCUAGAUGCAUUCCAAGUGGUAUCAAGGGUGAAUGGUGCACUUAGGUGCUAGAAACCUUAUAUUGCUUGAGGUGUAAUAUGCAAAAAAUGUGCUGACUUGAGUGAAGGCAUAAUAUAGACAUGUGUGUGUUUUUGUGUGCAUAUAUAUAAUAAGCAUAAGAUAUAUAAUUAUGAUAAUAAACUCUAAAGAAUGAUUCAGUUUAUCUACUAAACAUGCAAAAUUUUCAUUUUCUUUCUUUUGUUGGGCCAUAUCCGUGAUUUCCUUACAGUUUUGUGUUUGUUGCUGAAUACAUAAAUAUUGAGAAGUAGAGAUUUUGAUAUUAUCACCUAUCUUACUGGUAAAGUAAAGCUAAUGAAAGUAAAAGACAUUAAAUAGAAUUUCGAUUGGGUAAGCUUUUUUUUUUUUUUGCUCUUGCAUUAGGAAAAAAUGUGCACCCACCAGAACUUAGGUGCACCAGGUGUGCGCCUCCCUCAAAAGGGUUUGAAGUGCUUUUGAUGUUUGGUGCUAAGGCACAAUGCCUUGACAACACUGUACAUUCCCCAAUUUCCCAGAUAAAUUCCUAAUCUUCCUUGUAGCCUUUUAAGACCUUAAGGCAUUAUUAUGUUCAAUUAGGUCUGUAUUGUUGAUAAAGUUGUUUAAGUACUUUAUUUUUGCAGAUCAGCUAUCUACAUGGUCAUUGUCUUCGCUACAUACGCAUCUACAUGGCAACAUAUGAAAAUUCAUCCUAAGUUGGCAUUUAUUUGGCUUAUAGCCGUAGCUUAUAUGGCAUGCAGAUGCCACAACAGUAUCUUUAAAUCCCUUAUUUAGCCACAUAUGUUGCCUUUGUAAAUGCUGAUAUGGCAAGGUAAAUGGUGUCAUAGAUGCUGAUAUGGCUAAGAUAACAGAUUUUUAUUGGUUUCCAUCCUGAUCAGGGUUCUGUUAAACAAAAAUAGUCCUUAAAGGGUUGAGUUUGGUACGGUAGAAAUACAAAUGUAGGGGUUUAUCUAAGAAAUUUAAUAAGGUACAAUGACCUUUUUCUUCUGAAAAGAAAUAUAGCCUAUUAUUACUCUAUUAGCAUGGAAUGGUUUUAGGUGUUUUUGUACUUCAAUUUGAUUUGCUUGUUACAAACAGGCAAGACAACUGGAGGCAAGCAUUGAAUUGACAAGGAAAGCUGUGGAGGACCCAACAGAAGUAGAAGUUGAGCUGAAACGAAGGCUUGGACUGCUGACUGAUCAUUUAAUUCAGAAACAAGCUCAGGUCUGUCCUUCAAAUUUUGUGCUUGUGAAUGAUUCUGCUUAAUAAGUGUAACAUUGAUGUUUUUCCUGUCUAGUAAGCAUUAGGUGCUUAAAGUGCAAGGACAGAGUGAACCUUAGCAACCUAAUAAGUAAUAUAUCUGUUUGUGUGUCUGUAUAUUAUAUCGUACAUAAAAUGUUUUCAGCUUUAAGGCAAAGAUGUGAAUUACUAUUUUAUUUUGCUUUACUUUAGCUUAAAUUUGUUGACUUUAUAGCAUGCAGGAUGACAAACAUUAGCAGAGAAACAAUUAAUUUUGCCUCCAAAUAUUAAUUGGUCACUUGCCAAAAUCUGUGGAAUGAUUAACCCAAGCAUCUUUCUGCAAUAACUCAAUUCUGCAACACCGAUGCCAAAUGGUGAAAUGCAUGCAUUUAUUGAAUAACAUGAAUAAACAAAUUGAUAUUGAAGAGUUACUUCAUUUGUUAAGCUCCUCGCUAGAUUAAAUAGCAAUCUUUCUUUUAGACUCAUUCGUCCACUCUGUUUUUCUUCUGCAGGUUGAGGCACUAUCCUCGGAAAAGGCGACAUUGUCAUUUAGAAUUGAGGUACCUAGUUUAUGAAUUAAUUAGCAUUACUGUUUUUUCAGAACUGAUCCACUGAUCUUGUAAUUUGUACUUGUGAACUUCUUUAGGCAGUUUCAAGGAUACUGGAAGAGGGCAAGUCCACGAAUAUGAAUAAUGCCACAUCAAGUGAUUUGGAAUUAGGAACAUGGGGUCUCUCAAGUUCAAAGUUGAAUCCUGUUCUCAAAGACAAAAUUCGUUCCGGAAAACGGCAACUUGGAUCAACGAUUAAGCAGUUGGAUGCUAUAUUUUUGGCAGGUGCAAUAUUCUUAAGAAGAAAUGCAACAGCAAAAGUUUGGUCUUUGGUAUACCUCAUUUGCCUUCACGUUUGGGUCAUAUAUAUUCUAAUGUCACAUUCCCGACCAUCAGAUGAGGAAAGAUCUGGUGCUGUAAUGUCCCUUGGUAAAUAUCAAUAGAAGUGUGGGUGUGUAUUUUGUAAUUUCUGUAUUUCUUGACACUACUUUCAAGAGAUCUAUGUGUAGGGUGUAAUAAAUUUUUAAUUUGUGCAGUUUUUGGCAACAUUAAAUCUACAGAAGAACCACGUUUGAGUAUAGACGAUUACUAGCAAUCAAUUAACCAAUCAAUGAAGUCAAAUACUUGCAUGGGAAUGAAUUUUUCAUUGCCUGAAUCAAGUAGUCAACUGAGCCACAUGUAGACUGUCAAAGAUAUUAACUUUUUAGUCGAUAUUAAUCUCGGGAUUAAUAUAUUAUUAGAAAAAAAAAUUGUUAAAUUUUAACAACAGUUGUAUUUAUGUAGGUCAAGUGUCUGAACCAAAUCUUUCUCCUUUACUCCCUACAAAUGGAUUGAGUGCCCUAUCAUCGAGUCCUGGGUCGUCUUCAUCUUAAUCUAAAAAAAAAUGUUUGAUUAUUUGAAUACGAAUUUAAAUUAAUUUAAACUUUUUUUAAAUUCGAAUUAAAGAGAAGUACUCGAAAUUAAAUUGAUUUAAUUGAAAGGUUAAUAUACUUUAAACUAAUAUACCUUUUUAAACAAGUUCUUAUGCUUAACUUUUUACCCAUAAAAGUUGUUUACUUUAAUAUUAACGUAAAAUAUUUUGAAUUUUUAAAUUAAUUUGCAUUUUAUGUUAAUGUGGAUUUGAUGAAAUUAGUUUAUUAAAUUAAAGCAAAAUAAUAUUUUUAAAGUAAAAUAAAAUAGUAUUAUAAAACUUCUUGAAAAUGCUUAUAUGCAUAAUACACAAAAUCAUUUUUUUGUUUGAAAAUACUAAUUAGUUCUCCUAAAAUAUAUUUUAAUUUAUACGUACAGCAAAAUACAAUUAAAAAAUAGUUAACUCUAAAUCUAAUUACUCGUUGUUAUUAGUUGCUUUCCAAACCCACCUUAAAAAAAUAGUACACCCCAGUGGUUUUCUUUUGAUUAAAAUGUGUCAUAAGCUCAUAUAUUGUUUAUAAAUUUAAAUUUAAAUUUUUAUAUUUUUAUUUUUAAGAAUUUAGUUAUUUUAUAUUUUAAAUUUUAAAAUUUAGGUUUAAUUAGUAAUGUUAUUAUUAUUUUUUAUUAAAAUUAUUUUUUAAUUAAAAAAAUUAAAUUUGAUAGAAUUAAAAAAUAACAUUAUAAUAAAUUUAAAUUUAACAAAAUAUUUUUAACACUGUUAAUAGUUAAAACUAAAUUUUAAAACUUAAAAAUUAAAAAAUUAAAUUCUUAAAAAUAGAUAUAUAGGGAUUAAGUUAUAAUUUCAUGACGAGUAGAGAGACUUUCUGUUAACCUUUUCUUUUCGUUAGAUUAUUACCAUUUAUAUCGCCGUAAGCAAUAAAUAAAUAUAUUUAAUGAUUAUUUACUAUUAUUUAGUAAAAAAAUACACUUAUGGCUAUCCUAUUUUCAUCACUUUAGUUUUUUAUUAUAUUUAAUCACUCAAAAUAAGAUAAUUAUAUGAAUUAGUCACUGCUGUUAAAAUUUUUGUUCUUGAGUGACUAACAUGUUUCAUUUUUUUGUUGACUUUUGACUAAAGUUUAGAGACCUCUUUAUAGUUAGUCUAAAAUUUUCCCCUAAACUUUAUAGAAAGCCCUUAAUCUUUUGACUCAACAAAAACUGAAAUAUGUUAGUCACUCAACGGGCUAACGUGCCACAUCUCUAAUCCGAUAAAAGAGAACUAAAUUUUAACGGUAGUGGCUAAUUCGUACAAAUAUCUUAUUUAGAGGGACUAAAUUGAGAAAAAACCUAUUUUAGAGUCACAGGGUAUAGUUUACCAAACAAAAAAAAUUCAUAUUUGAUUUUAUGGUCCGCAAAUUGCAGUAGAUCUCACUUUGUAGUUUAUCCCCUUCUGUCUCUUUCUUUCCCUGCUUCUUGUGAAACAGAAAAACACAAAAAAUGUAAGUUCCUUUUGUUUUUUAUUUUCAAUUUUUUGCUUUUCUUUUUGUUUCAAAUAUCAUUUUCCAUUCAAUUAAUUACAAUUUCCUUCAAUUCAAUUCCUUUAAAUGAAUCGUACUGGAUUCAGUUCCAUUCUAAUUCGAUCUGUUCGUCCUACCGAUUUACAUUUUUUACGUUGUUUAAUUUUCCUUUCUGUUUAAUUUUUUUUUCUAAUUUUGAUCUAUUUUUAAUAUGAGAAGUUUUUAUUUUUCUUGUUUCUUAAUUAUAUUUGCAAAGGACGUUUCAUUCGGUGCUUAGUUUCUCUCUGGACACGGGAAUUAAAUAUAAAAGGAACUCUAGUUUUCAAUUCUAAUUGGUUUGAACCAUUUCUGAUAACUGAGGUUUCAUGAUCUAUAGUUUAUCUCAGUAGUUUAGUCAAGUCCGCUUUAUAUGGAAGCACUGGUUUGAUUUUUGUGAAUUUAGAAUGACGUGAUUACUGCAUUUUGAUAAAUAAUAGACUCCAGAUUCUGAUUAGUAUUAACAGUGUAUUUGGAAUAACUAAAGAUUAAAGGAAGCCAUUUUAUUGAAUGGAUUUCAAGUGUAGCAAACUAUGUAAUUGAGAUGAAUUUGAAAAUUAAUGAAAUCCAUUUCUUCUACAUAAAUAGGGAACCUUUUUUUUUCUUAAGCAAUGCUUCCAUUAGUAAUUUUCUUCUACAUGAAGAUUAGUGGAAUCCAUUUACUUUUAAGGUGCGGCUUGAUUUGUUACUUGUACUACUUAAUCUUCAGGUUGUGAAUUCUCUGUCGUGCUCCUUUAUUUUUGUCAUUCGUGAUUUAUUUUAUGAUAAUCCCCACCCCCCCCCCCCCCAAAAAAAAAAAAGGAAAAUGUGUUUAGAUACAAAUGGAAACAGUAUUUUUGAAGAUUUUGAAAUGACAAUGAAUCUUUAGGAGAAUAAAAUGCUUUUUUACUUGUAUCGUAUAAAGAACCUUAAUCUAUAGCUGCUGUUAUAUUUAGACAUUUAAUAGUUUUAAAUCAAUUGCAACUUUGCUUUCUACUGAUUCAUUUGCUGUUAUACUCAAAGAAAUAGCAAAAAGCCCAAGUAUAAAAAUCAAUAAUCCAACAAAUCCCCACUGUUUAACUACUUUUCAAGCUUAUGGAAUUCGCUAGAGUGGUUUAGAGAAUGAAGCUUGAUACGUUUAACAAAAUUUCAAGCUUAAAGCUUCUAUAUUUUCUUUCUGAAGCAGUUGAGAAUGAAAUUACAAUUACUUUUUUAAUUAUUUUCUUUACUUUUUGCAUUUCCUGCCCAGAAAUGAAUUUUCUGUCUCAUUGUGGCUUUCUUUCUUGACAGAACUACAAAAUGGGUAUGGCAGAAAACACUAACGGUAUGGAGGAGGGGACACUGGAGAUUGGCAUGGGUAAACUACUUGCUUUAAACUAGUUGCAUGAUCAUCAUAGGAAACUUUGUUUGCUUUUCUUUGAGUGGUUUAUGUUUUAACUAUGUAUUGAAUGCUCUGUCUAAUCUUGAGAACUGCCAUAUGCAUUGUGACAAGCAGGAUUUAUUGCAUGAAAGAAACUGGUAAAGUUAAAAGAAUAAUUAUAUUACUUUUCUUGAGUUGAUUACAGAAUAUAGAACUGUUUCUGGAGUUGCUGGGCCUUUAGUAAUCCUUGAUAAAGUGAAGGCAAGUUCUGUUUUCCUCACUCAUUAUCCGGUAUCAUUCUCAAGCUUGUUUAGUUUCAAUUUCAACUUCUUACUGUUUGAGGUUUCAUGCUUUUUCUAGGGACCAAAAUAUCAAGAAAUUGUUAAUAUUCGUUUAGGGGAUGGGACAACCAGACGUGGUCAAGUCCUUGAAGUUGAUGGAGAAAAAGCUGUUGUUCAGGUAUUUUCUGUCUAAAAUUCUCUACCUUUCCUUUGUAACUAUGAAUUCCUAUUAUAUGCACCUUUAUAUCAUGCAAAAAGGAAUAAUGUCUGGUGCUGCAACUUCACUAAUAGCAUAUUCUUUUAUCCUUCAUAGCUCUAAUUAUAUGUCACCUUGGCUAGGUUUUUGAAGGAACAUCUGGAAUUGACAACAAAUAUACAACUGUGCAAUUUACAGGAGAGGUAUGUGACGGCCUAAUUUUCUCUUUUACGUUCAAUCCUAUUCUUGCAUCUCCUAAUUUGAUUUGAAAAUAGCUUACCUUCAACACACCUGGAAAUUAAUUGAAGUAGCUGCUUCUUUCUGUUGGGAAAUUUUUAAUUAAGAUGGCCGAUUGGCAUCAUUUGUCUGAUUGUAUGCAUUUAGACAUUAAACAGGCAUGCUUACACGUUUCUUGAAUCUUGAUAUAUCUGGUUCUUUAGUAGACCGAAGGGAAUUAAGUCCUGCAAUUACUAGACCUUGUAGACGUUUUCUGUCUUGUGGUGAGCUAAGGUUCUCUUUUGGCAUUACACUGGCUUUUAUAUUGUAAUAUUUUUUCUUCUAAAGGUUAUGACAUCAGGCCAUGUAUUUCUCUAGAAUAAAAUUAAUGUUUGGCAUUUACUUCUAAUUAGAGGUUUAGUAUAUAGUUAGGUUAGCUAUCUAAUUUCUGCUUAGAACCAUGGUUUGUAAUCCUUAAAAAGAAUGGAACACUGAGCAUGUGAUAUCCAUUGAGGAAUCAUUGAUUGUAAUUGGCACAUCCUCUGUAAAUGUUAAUAAGUAGCAGGCUGUUACUUAUUUGCUAUGUUUCUCCAACUCUUGUCAAAUAACAAUGUCUGGCUCAUAUUUAGGCAUGAGUAAGGGGAUAUCUUAGAUGUACAUUAAAAACUUAGAAAAAAAUUGAAAAUACCCAUGUCAGAAGCUUACCCCAUAACCAACACUUAUAUCCGAGUUUGACUAACAUAGCUUAUUCGGGCUUCUUGGGAAUGUUUUUGUUUUCCACUUCCAACCAUUCUAGUUAUAAGGUUAAGUUUAUGCAAUCAAGCCUUUAGACCAUUGUUUAUGUUUAUUGGUUUUUUGGACAUGAUAAUCAUUAGGAAUUGGCAGCUUAUACUAACAUUUGUUUGCUUUCUUGUUCUUAUGCCCAUAGAGAAACAAGCCCCUUGGCAUCAUGAUGUGUGUAAUUUAGUUGCCAUGCCCUGUAGAGGUUUUACUAGUUAUUUGUUUAGUUUGUAAAUGAGGAAUAUGCCCAAAUGUAUUGAGGCAAGCACGUACAACAAGUAGGGGAAAAAAAGAAUAAAGGAAGGAAAAGAGCAACUGCAUUUUGCAAUGUCUUUUGAGCUUAUUUUAGAAUUGGUGUCUGCUACUUCCUGGUUCUUGUGAGUUGUGAAUCAAUUAUUGUGUCUAAUGUUUGUAUUAACCAGUAGGAAGCUAAGGUAGAAAAAACUUGGGAAGGCAAGUGCCUGUUUUGAGUGCAUUUUGAAAACUAUUUAUUUUACCCCCUUUGAAUUUUUCUGCUUUUUUGAACUUAUUUGUCUGUAUCCCUUCUCCUGACUCUAUUUUGUAGGUGUUGAAAACUCCUGUCUCUUUGGAUAUGCUUGGGCGCAUUUUCAAUGGGUCUGGAAAGCCUAUAGAUAAUGGUCCACCUAUCUUGCCUGAGGCAUAUUUGGAUAUCUCUGGUAGGAGCGUUGUGGACCAAAUGAUAAUUGAACAGUAUAAGUUGCUUGCAACCGGUAGUUUGUUAGCUACAUUACUUAUCCUUUAAUCUUUUACUUUGUAGGGAGUUCUAUUAAUCCUAGUGAGAGAACCUAUCCUGAGGAAAUGAUACAGACGGGGAUUUCAACAAUUGAUGUCAUGAAUUCAAUUGCUAGAGGGCAAAAAAUCCCUCUCUUCUCAGCUGCUGGACUUCCCCAUAAUGAAAUCGCUGCUCAGAUUUGUCGUCAGGCUGGUUUGGUGAAACGUUUGGAGAAGACUGGAGAUCUGCUUGAGGUAAGGUUCACGUUCUAAUAUUGCUUGCCUAGUAAUAAGGUGACAUACUUGAUGGUUUGAUUGAGUUAAUGUGCUAAUUGUAAAUCAACUAUGAAAUUUUAAUGAAGUUCUUUUCAAGUCUCAUUUUAAUUUUGUAAUAUGUCACAACCGGUUGCUUGUCCCUUCAGAAUGAACUCAAAAUUGAAGAUACAUACAAAAAUAAAAAAUUUCAUGUUGUGUUAGUUGCUAUCAGUUGCCUCUAAUAUUUCUCAAUACUGAAAACAUGAGGCCUUUGUCCUAUACAUGGCUGUUUCUUUCUACCUUUUGAUAAGUUCACAGGAAGCUGAUUGAUUUCAGGAUGGUGAAGAAGAUAAUUUUGCAAUUGUGUUUGCGGCUAUGGGUGUAAACAUGGAGACUGCACAGUUUUUCAAACGUGACUUUGAGGAAAAUGGCUCAAUGGAGAGGGUGACCCUUUUCCUAAACCUGGUAUAAUUCAAUUUGAGAUACAAAGGCCUUAUUCAUUUCCUUUUAAAAUGAGAAGAGUGGGUUGGUUAAGAGGUUGCAUCUACUUCAAAAAUCAAUUUAUAGCUGGAAAUUAGCUUCUUCUACUUUCUUCUCUACAGGCUAAUGAUCCCACAAUUGAACGUAUUAUUACUCCUCGUAUAGCUCUCACUACUGCAGAAUACUUGGCAUAUGAAUGUGGGAAGCAUGUUCUUGUGAUCCUUACAGACAUGAGUUCUUAUGCUGAUGCUCUCCGUGAGGUAACAAAAAACAACCAUGUCUCAUUAGUGCAAUCUCUUUGGUGCGCAGUACUACUACUAGCUGUUGAUAGCAGAGAUGCUUGAAAGCAUAUAUCAUUUUUUCACUAUCUCUGAUUCUGAUUGCUCAUACAUUCUGGACAUCUAAUACAUGCAUUUCAGAAAUUUAUGCAGCUCCCAAAGCUUUUAUUUGAAUGUUGAAAGUUUAUUGUCUCUAAUUAUCUUAAUUUCAUCUUGUUCUAUAGAAUGUUAUGCCAUAUGUUUGAGACAAACUACUAUUGCUAAUGCAGGUCUCUGCUGCCCGAGAAGAAGUACCUGGAAGACGUGGAUAUCCUGGGUACAUGUAUACAGAUUUGGCCACAAUAUACGAGCGUGCUGGACGAAUUGAAGGGAGAAAGGGUUCUAUCACACAGAUUCCAAUUCUUACUAUGCCAAAUGAUGGUAAUGCUUUUUGUAGCUAUGUCUACUUUUUGCACUGCCAUGCUUGCUUUAAUGGUAAUUCUGAUUCACAACUUGAUUCUAUUUAUCUCUUUUGGCAGAUAUUACACAUCCCACUCCGGAUCUUACUGGAUAUAUCACAGAGGGGCAAAUAUACAUUGACAGACAGCUCCAUAAUAGACAGGUAAUGUCAAAACUAGCCUGUACGAGCUAUCAACCUAUUUAUCUAGGAUGCGUGAAGGUUCACAAAUUAUCACCUUGAUUUUUGUCAAUUUAUGCAUAAAUUUCGUUGUUAAUAUGGUCUUUUAUGUUGGAACUGUUUUUUCUCUAUCUUUCCAUUUCCUUGGCAAAUUUCUCAGGGUGACUUCGGUUGAAUUUGGCUCAUCAUAGUGUGUGAUUGAUGGCUCUGUACCUUGUUUGCUUUACCGGUUGAUAUCAAGUCAACAAUAUUCCUCUGUUUUCAAAAUGGAUUUUGAUGUAUAUGUUUUUCUUCUUUGUAUGAAUAACAAUUAAGUUGAUUUCUGUCAAUUAAUAUUUUCUUCUUUCCUAAAUGGACAGAUAUACCCACCAAUCAAUGUGCUUCCAUCGCUGUCUCGUUUGAUGAAGGUGAGGAUAGCAUCCAUCAACAUGGAAAUUAUACAAAUCUUAACUUACUAUGAAGAGUAACCAAUUUUCUUUUAUAUGUAUAUAUUUUCUCAGAGUGCCAUUGGUGAGGGCAUGACACGCAGGGAUCAUGCUGAUGUGUCUAACCAGGUCUGAUUGCAUCGUUGUUGUGGUAUAAUUUCAAUCCUCAAUUUGAUGUUAAGGAAUCUAACCUUUGCUUUUGUUUCCCAAUCAUUUCACCUUCAGCUGUAUGCAAAUUAUGCUAUCGGUAAGGAUGUGCAGGCCAUGAAAGCUGUGGUCGGAGAAGAAGCACUUUCUUCUGAGGAUCUGGUUUGCUCUCUUUUCCAGUUUCUCUUCAAUUUUCACGCAUCAGUUUUUGGUAAAGUACUUGCUUAGAAAGAACCUAAUGUGAUGUCCCUGAAUAUAACAGCUAUACUUGGAGUUCUUGGAUAAAUUUGAGAGGAAGUUUGUUACCCAAGGAGCAUAUGACACCCGCAACAUCUUUCAGUCACUCGAUCUGGCGUGGACUCUGCUUCGCAUAUUUCCUCGUGAACUUCUCCACCGUAUACCAGCGAAAACUCUUGACCAGUACUACAGUCGAGAUGCAGGUAAUUGAAGGAGGCAAAGUGAUGCCCUUAGAUUGCCUCCUCCUUGGUAGUGUUUAAAAGAAGUUUAUUUACCAUCCGCUUCAUCUGCUCGAAUAAUAAUGGUUGAAUUCCAGUUAGGUUUCCCCAUGAAAGCUCUUGGGCUAGUAAAACAAGUGAUCAAAUAUGACUUCUUUUAUCUAGAGGAAACCAGGGUGGCCUAAGAGGAGGAACUGUAAAGCCCCCCUUGUGUUACUUGUUAUUCUAUAUUCCUAUUUAUUUUUUCAACAUUUUGUAAUUCAGUAGAUUUGGAUUUCUAUAUCCAUAUCCAAACACUGACCGAGACCAGUGCGUCUCAACUGCAUUAGCUGCUUUUCUUCUCUUCUAUUUAUUUUCAUAGUUUUGCUUUGUAUUGUAUUGGUUUUUAUGUGAAGAUGAAAAUAAGGGAGACAGUAGACGACUUGUGCUGUUAUUUUGAAUAAUGUUUUUUUUUUUUUUUUGUCUUUUUGGGCAAUCAUAGAAACAUUGUUUCAUUUAUCAAAGACUCGGGCCCAUCGAUUGCAGUACAGAUGGAAAACAAGAGACAAAGCAGCCUAAGCAACUAUAUACAUACAAAAUGGCUGCAUCACUGUAUAGGUCAACUCGACCUCCAAAGGCAGCAUUUGUUUAAUCAGAACAAUGAUUAGACAAAUCAAAAGCCUACCUUAUGGUUAUGCCAUGAUUUAGGCUCAACCAUCAAAUGACCAACGAUGCAUUGACAGUGGUGAGACGUUGGUCAGCCGGAAGGAUGAUCCUUCCGAAAGGAUUAUAAUAUAUAAGCAAUGACUCUCAACCAAUGAUAUAAGCAAUAAGUACCAUACAACCAUGGCUUAAGAUUCACUUCAUUAUUUUAUUAUCCAUUAAUAUCCAAUAAUUACCAUUCAAAUGUGUAGGAUUCAUUUAUUAAAUAUUAUAGAAAUCAAUUUGUGAAUGAUGAUUAAAUAUACAUUGGAUAUUAUCGAAUCUUAUCCGAGACAUUCGCGCCAGCUAUCCUCUCUGGCUCCUUUCCAUCGGAUUGCAUUAAUGCUUUCUCAGGUCAUUUUGAAUGUCUACCUCACUAGCUCCUUCCAUUUUUAAUGUGCAAAAGAUUUUCCAGUCCUGAUAUUUCGUUUCUCUCACAUUUCCUUCUCGUGCGUGAACUUCAUUUCCCACCGGCAUUUUCACUUCAUCAUCCUCGUCAUCAUCUUCGCUAUGGCUAAGGUUUGCUUGAUCACCAAACCCCUUUUUGCUGAUGGGUAAGGCACGAAUCUAGUCACCAUAAAUCUUUUCCACCUUGAUUUUUUUGGUGGUGGACCUCCAACUUUUAAAGGCGUGACCUAACCUUCCACAUGCAUAACACAAACCUUUCAUGUUCAAAGACUACCGUAAUAAGAUCGUUAUCAGUUUUGCGAAGCUUGAAGUUGUUGUUGGGUUAAGGAUUUUCAACUUUAAGACCCACAUUUGGUCCCAUGAGCCUUUGGUUCUUUGCUAGAUGUAGAUGUUGAAAGAUGAACCUCCUUGAUGCUUCCUCUCUUUGAGGAUCAAGUGAUCAGGUGGCUGACCCAAUUAGCUUCUUUUGUUCCCUCUCUCUUUUAAACACAAACAGUAACAUGUUUCUAAUUUCAAGGUCCCGCAUUUCGCAAGGAUCUUCAACCGCCCAUAGCCAUACCUACGUUUUAUUUAUUUAUUUAUUUAUUUCACAAUCAUAUAACACUUUGCAGAUCAACGAAAUUCCCCUGAUUCGACCAUCGACUUUAACGUAUGAUUCCAACUCAAGUGUGAUCAAUGUUUCAUUUUCUAGGUCACCCGGCACUGUCUUUUUAUGGCUUCUUUGCUGUCGUUGUCCAAGGUCAUGCAAACCAACGCAAGAAAGAUGAGGAAACUAAAAAACGCUUUAGAGAAAGAGAAGCCAAAUGUAGGUGACGGAAAGAGGAUUAUAAAAUGUUGUGAAAAGGGAGGGUCAUUCAAAGUAUGAGAAGGUCUUAGAAAGUUCCACUCAAGGACGAAAGCUUGAUGGAAAGGAAAAUUGCUUUAUCAGGAAAGCAAUUUUUCUCCUUCUAAAAAGUAAGUACUUGAGUGUUAUGUUGAAUAAAAUUUGAUUAAAGAGAACAGAAGUGAUUUAUUCCAAUUAUGUUACAAUCCCAAACAAAAUACAAAUUGAAUCUCGCAAGCAUGCACAUCUACAUUUGAUUCAAACCUCUUUCCAUAUAUUCCAUUCUAAGUACUCUUUUCUUUUUAGAAUUAGGAUGAGUGUAAUUGCUGGCCUGCUUUUAAAAAGUUGUUCACCGAAUCAUUUAUAUUAGAAUUAUUUUUUUUUAAAUUAAUUUUUAUACACUAAUAAAAAUAUUGACACAUCAUAAAUAACUUAAAUAUGGAUAAAUGCAUAAAAAUAUUUCUGUAAAAUUUUAGACAAUUUAAAAAAGAACCAUUUAAGUUAAUUUUUUAAUUUUGCAAGAUUUGAUCUAAGAAACUAAAAUUCAAGUUAAUUAAAGUAAAAAAUAAUUAAAAAUAUCAAAGUAAAGAAAUAUAGUCUAUUGUAUAAACUUUUCUGAAAGGGUCAUGGAUUUAGAUAUCAUGAAAGUUACUUCUUUUUAGUUAGAAACUUUAACUCUAUUUAUUUAAUUUAUUAUAUUUAAUUUUACAUAAUAAAUGAUGAGUAAUUUUAUGGAGAAAACCAAUAAGUAAUCAAUUAAAAAUUUGAAGUACAAAAAAAAAUUGAUAUAUUUAAAGUUGUUCACGUGUCAAAAGAAAAAUUAAUAAAAAAAAUUAUAACUUACCUAAAACGCACCAAUACCUUACUAUAUAUAAAAUAUAUCUAUUCUAUUAUUUAAAAUCUUGAUUAAGUUGAUUUCUAAGAGAAAUUACAAAAAAAAAAUUAUAAUUAAAAUACAUUAUAUUAUUUAAAGGUAUUUUAGUCUAUUCAUUUUAAUAAAAAAUCAACAAAAAUAUAUAUAUAUGAUAAGAUUUAAAUCCACAUCAAUCUGAUUAGUAAAAAAUUUAAUUUACUAGUCGACCAAAGCUUCAUUUAAUAUAUUUUACACAUUUUUAUUUUAAUAUAAUAAUUUAUUAUCCCUAUUAAUUGUAUAUAUCAUUUAAAUUGCUUAUUGAGUUAGAUGUCACAAAUCAACUCGACGUUAACUCAAAAUUGAUGACAAAAUCAUAAUAAAUAAUUAUAGUGCAUUUACUAUUGUUUAUCCGAUGUAUUUAUGUGUUUAAAUUUCAUUUUACUUAUAAUUUAAUCUAUUUUUUAUUCUAAUAUCGUACAUAUUUGAUGUGUUUUUAUGAUUAAUUCGUUUCAAACCAUAUAUGUACAGGCCCAAUUUUACCCGGCCCGUUUAAACAAAAACCAAAAAUAAUAAAGAUAGUCCAUUUUACAUAAAACCCAAACACAAGAUCCUACCCAUUUUACAAACAGACCCUAAACCCCUAACCCAAUCGGCCCAAUAGGCCCAAUGUCCAAAUUGGGUCUCAGCUAGCCGAAACCCUAGCUAGCCUCAGCGCCGCGCCUCCCCUCUACUGCCCAUGUGCUUCAGCAGCGCAUUCGACACUCGAGGAUAGGCUUUGCCCGUCCUUUGCACCAAAACGGAAGCCCCUCUCGUUGACCCUCCUCCCAACCUGCAAACAGACCAUAAAGGGGAACAGAAAGUGCAACACGCAAAGGCAAACAAAGAAAACAUGCAGAGAUAGACAAUAGCAAUAGGAAAUCAAUCGAUUUUCGGCUAUAAAGCCCAAACAAAAACAGAUUGUAUGGUUACGAAAAAAAAACACAAAAUAUUGAAAUAAAAAAGGCAGUCAAAAAUCAAGAAGGUGAUUUCGAGUGCCUCUCUUUUUUUCUUUUGAAUCUGUUCUAUUUGUUCCCUUUAGAUUUGGCAUGUAUUUUUAGCAUAAUAGAAUAAAAGAGAAACGAAAAAGAAAACGAAGCUUUACCUUCGUAAAUAUGCCAUAAGACUUCUUCUUCUUCGUCGAAAUCGGAGUAAAGAAAAGGUCUAAAACGGAAAAAAACGGGUCUGAGGCUCGGACGGUUUGGUCGCCGUUCAUGGUGGCCGAUCGGCUCCUAGGGGAAUGUUGGAUUUCGGCUGAAACGAUGAAAUAGAGAGGCUAGGGUUCUUUGGUGUCUGUUUGGCUGAAUAAAGGCAUGAUUUGGCCUUUAUGAGGAAGCAAAAAAACGGCACCGCAUAAGCCAAUUCCCAUGGUAUAAAAACGACGCCGUUUGGAACCCUGUGACCCGACCCGAUCCGGUUCUUUGCCCCUGGGAUCCGCGUGUUUCUGCGCUGAGGGUAUAAUUUCACGAUGGGCCCUCCCCUUUUCGCAUGAGCAUUCAAUUGCCCCCCGCCUAUUUUGUUUCAUUUUAUAAUUUGGUUCUGAAGUUCGCAUGCGUUUGCAAAUGGGUCCGUGCCUUAACGCAGCGUUUUGGGACCCGACAAAUUUCCAGCUUUGAUCCCUCCGCUCCUCUGCGAUUAUCGACUUGAUCCUUUUCUUAUUUUUUUUCGUUUUUUUUUUAUUUUGCCCCAGGUUUUCGUGUCUGAUUUUUUUCAGUCCUGCAUGAAACGAUGCGCAAAGGACUUGAGGAACAAUUUCCUGAUCAGUCCUCAAACCUAACUCUUUUUUAUUUUCGACCCCGUUUUUUAUUCUGUUUUAGUUUUUAU